rnacentral:lncRNA from 1 species
CCUGAUUGAAAAGAAGUUGAAACAACAUAUAUUUGGUUGGUGAUAAAUUCAAGAUCAAACAAUGCAAAAUAAGAGAUUGUAGGAGCCUAAAUGUUACCCAAUCUAGAAGAUAAAUUUUAUCCUCCUUUGUCCUGGAAAAAACGUUGCUUCUACCGCUGACAAUUUCCAAGGCAACAAUUCCGAAACUAUAGACAUCCGCUUUCUCUGUUAAAUGGCCCCGUGUUGCAUAUUCUGGUGCCAUAUAUCCACUACAAGGUCGUGAAUUUGAAUAUUAAAUUCAUAUAUAAUGUAUGAGAAGGAAAGUGGAAAACAUUGAUGAGAAAUUAGUAUGCAGCGACUCACAUUGUUCCGGCAACUCGGGUGCUUAUGUGGGUGUCAUCUUCUUCAUCCAGCUUGGCUAAACCAAAAUCGGAUAUUUUAGGGUUUAAGUCCUUAUCAAGAAGCACAUUGGUUGCUUUGAUGUCUCUAUGCACAAUCUUUAUCCUUGAUUCUCCAUGUAGAUAAGCUAAACCUCUCGCUAUGCCGAGGCAAAUCCUGCGCCUUGUUGGCCAAUCCAACUUCAACCGAUGCUCUUCAGGACCUUCAAAUCAUUCAAGAAAGACGAUACAUGACUAGAAUCUAAUACCACAUAUGUAUGUAUGUGUGAUUUAUGUGGAAACCGAUACUGUGUAGUUGAAAUAUAUACCAAACAUGGCUCGAGCAAGGCUGUUGUUUUCCAGGUACUCAUAAAUAAGCGACAAUUGAUUUCCUUCCAUGCAACAUCCAUAAAGCUUUACAAGAUUAGGGUGUUGCAAAGCAGAAAUCAUGCCAAUCUCAUUAAUGAAUUCUCGAUUUCCUUGCUUUGAUUUGGAAGAAAGUUGCUUGACUGCGAUCACUGUGCCAUCUGCCAAAAGGCCCUGCAUUUUUAAGAAAUGCGGUCAGAUUUGAAAAACAAAAAGGAAUUGUUUCGAGCAAAACACACCUUGUAAACAGGGCCAAAACCGCCUUCUCCAAUCUUGUUAUCAGGGGCAAAGUUGUUUGUGGCAGCUUUAAUUUGCUUCAAUGUAAAAGAAGCAGUAUGCAAGUCUACACCCCGCAGCUCUGUGGAAGAAAUUACUGGGUUAAUAAAAAUGAAACAUAAGCAUAACAAAAUGAUCUGUAAAAUCAAGAUAUCAUGAUUUGCAUAAUCUUUUAAAGACUUGAAUUAGAGAAUUAUUUAUUUGUAAGAAAUAUUUGUUAAUUAAUCAGUGCACUACCUCGUUCCAGAGUAUUUUCUGGUCUAAAACAGCCCUUCCACUGAAGGAUACCCACCACAACUAGGAUUAUAAAAAAUGCUGCAGCCACUGCGAUUCCCAAUGCUUUGCCUACUGAUAUACUACUGCUUCCAUCUUCUGACGGGGGUGUGAAAUCUGCUUCACCUAGAAAGUUACACAUCUCUCCAAUGUGAGGGUUAUCUAAUUGAAAAUCACUUAAAUACAAGGAAUUCCCGUAGAAAUAACCUUUGGGAAUUUGUAAAAUCUAAGGCACUUACGAAAUGGGAAAUUAUCAAAUUAGAUGAGAGAAGCCUUGAGUUAGUACUUAACAUACCAGGAUUGUGAAGAGAAAUAGCUGAUAUGAGAGGACCAUAAUCUCCUUUAAAUGGAAUUUCAGUUGUUCCUUUCCCAGCCCAAUAGAGACGGAUCUCCAUGGUCCCGUUGGUCACGGCAGCAGAAAAUGGUUUUACAAUUGCUUUACCAACACCACCAGCUUCAUUCUCAAUAUUGAAAUCCUUCAGCACGAGCUUCCCCUGCAACCAUACUUCCAAUUAGCUUAACCUUUUAUGCAUGUUGAAGUAAAGUCCAAGAUGGACAAUAUCUGUUACAUCCGUUUUUAUUUAAGGAAGCUUUUGUGAAAUCCAAAAGCGAAUCCAUGAGAGUAAUUAUGUGGUCAUUACUGAAUCCCAACUGAAAAAGCUUGUUGUGUAACAGCUUUCUGAAUCCCAACGGAAAUUAAAAUCUACAUAAGGCUGAACUGGAAAAGAUUUGCUAGCUCAAUAUUCAAGAAAAGAUGUAAUAUCAACCGUGAUUAAUUGGGGGUGGUGAGGUAGUAUUAAGCAUUAGUCACCUGAAUGUAAACAUCAAAUAUACGCUUUCCAAAACUGCUAAAAUUUUUGUCAUCAGUGAACAGUAUCUCUGCAAAGUGAAGGUUGACUGUGUAGUUUCCAUUCCCCAGACAGAAUCCAUAGUAAGUUAGAGAUAUGGCAGAAAGGCGGGCGGUUGUGUAUAAUUGAGAAUCGCUCAUCAAAAGUCUAGACGUAUUUGUCUGAAUGUAAGUGUCUGUUUUGAUACUAUUAUCCAAGAAGUGACCAGUGCUGCUUAGCCCCCAAUUUGUUCUACUUUGGGUAAAUGUUGAAGGCCCUGCCUCAUACGUAUCCUCUUCAAAUGUUGUAUCUCCAUUGGCAGUCACUUCACUCCCGCCACAGUUUAUAUGAAGAGAGUAGUAAGCUAGAACAAAAACAACAGUGAGCAUCCAGUGUACAAGUAAAAACUUUUAAAAGCCAAGUAACAACCAAUGAAUUUUAGCAGCAGAUGACUUAGCGUAGUAUUGUUGUCCUAGGUAGUCAAAGUUUUGGGUUUAAAGGAAUUACCUCAAAUUAGAAGCUAAUAUAAAACAAUGCGACAAACAUUUAGUAUGCUAAACAAGAUAGGAGCUGCGGGAAAUUAACUGGUCUUUUCCAUGUUUUUGUCAAUUAUAAGAUUUUUUUCAUCAGGAAAAUUCAAUGUAUUUAUGAAAGAAUAUUUCAGAUCAUGACUUACUUUUUGGGCAUUGGAAGCUUCUCAAGCAUGAUACAAUUCCGGUGCUGGAAAGAUGUAACGUAAAGGUCAGCAUCAUAACAGCAUAACAUAUAAUCGAAUUUGAUCAACUCGCCAGAGCAAUAUAUCCAGACAAUGCCAAUACCCAAUUAACUUAAAACCAAAAAGCUUCUAUUAUGCAUUUCAAUAUGUUAUAACUAGAUAGUGAAUAGAAAACUUACGAGUUAUUUCCCUUAGAGAAGCUGGCAAACAAGUUCCUAGAGAAUUGCACAAAGUAUAAAGCUUAGUCAGUGUAUUGAAGAUAGUUUAUUGAUGGAGGUGCUUAAAAGCUUCAAUUGAUAGUAUUCUUACACGCUUCGCUUUUGGCAGCUCGACUCUGCGCUUCCAUCAGUGAAAUUAUUAUAUGAAAGAUCUCUGCAAACAGAGUUUUAUGUGACUCAUCGUCUUCCAGAAUGCAAAAAAUUGCACCAAGAGUGCGAAGGGGAAGCUUACAUUUUGUCUCCUUUUUCAAGCAUCCAAGGAGGUAUCGCUCCAGUUAGCAAAUUUCCGGUGAAGUAUCUAUAGCAAAAUAUAAUAACAAAGUAGUAAAAGAAGUACGUUAAACAACCCACGCUUACAAGAGGGAAAUUUGGAAUAAGAAAAAAAGAUGCUUACAUGUAAUCCACAUCAUAUAGAUCAUCGAAGUUGCUUGGAAUUUGUCCCCUUAGUCUGCUAAAGCUGAGAUCCCUGAAAGAAAAUUCAUAAAAGAAUCAUAAAUUAACUGAAAUUUCCCCGUAUGUAUACCUGCAGAUAAUAAACAACGUUUGCACUAACAAGACUUUCAAUGUUGUCAUAUUCCCAAGAUAAGGAGGCAGCUCUCCUGUGAUAUUACAAUUCCUCAAUAUCCUGCCAUGACAGGAUCAAACAUUAAGAGAUCUUUCAACAAGCCAAAAGAUGAACAAAAUUUCUAUGAAUUGGAUACUUACAAGUUCGUCAUCUUCUUAUUACCAAGUUGGGGAAAAGUUGCUUCAGGUCCAUUCAGGUCACUAAUUCUCCUGCAUCGUGAAAUUCAACAAAAACCAAUAAGCCUAGUAUCAGUCAAAUACAUUAUGCACAUGAGUAACAAAAAUAGAAAAACCAUACAUACAAGUCCGUUAAAUUUUCCAGAGAAAAAAUGCCAGAAGGAAUUGGCCCAACCAAACCGCUUGGCUGAAUGAAUCUGUUGAUACAUGUAAUAUUUAUUUCAUUAGUCACCAUACGCAUAAUUUAUUGUUAAUAAAAUAAUGAAUUAAGGGAAAAAAAAAAAAAAACUAGCUCUUACAGUUUUUCAAGCUUUGUCCAGUUCUGAAUAAAACUAGGUAUUUGUCCUGUGAAUAGGUUAUCACCAAUUCGACUGCAUCAUUUGGGAUAACAAAAGAAAAAAUAAAUUAAUUAAUGACCAUUUACUGUUUUAAACACACGCAAGAUGCUAAAUUGUUCAAGAAGCAGCAUAGCUGAGAUCAGCACUGAAUCCAAAUUCAAGAAAGAAGACUGUGAAAGAGUAAGAAAAAUCAAAAGCUUACAAAUCCUUCAUAUUGGUCAACUUAGCAAAUGUUUUAGGCAACUCCCCAGUAAAAUUAUUUGAACUAAGAUGUCUGUAACAAGAGCAAUAACGAGCCGAGUUAUCAAUCUAAUAAAUGUAAGUUUUUUCUUCAGGAUUUUGAUUUGGAAUAAAAGGGUCUUAUAAGUUUAUAUGAAUCGCGUAUCCCUUACAGUUUUUCAAGAUUGAGUAGACUACCAAGCUCCUCAGGCAGUUCUCCUGAAAACUGAUUGUAUUGGACGGUCCUAUUCAUUUUACCGAACAUAAAAGAAUCAAUUAAAACAAGAUUAAUAUUUUUCUAAAAUCGAAGGGGGAAAAAGAGAUACGAAAAUAAAAACUCACAGAUUGACAAGUGUGGAAAUAUUUGCUAAAUAUUUUGGGAUUGGACCCGUUAGCCGGUUUGCUAGGAGGGAACUGAAACAAGAAUCCCAUAUGUGUUAGUUUAAAUGUAAAAUAUCUUCUGUUCAUCUAAAUUAAAAAUGAACAUCACGUUUACAUUCAUGAAGCAAGAUAACCAGAAAUUGAGCUACGAAUUGAAGGAAUUUGCAGGUGGGAUGAAUGAGACAUUAUAUUUUAAAAAUUAUUGAAUUUAAAAGUUUAAGUUGAUAAAUAAGGGUUUAAAAAAAUAUUAAAGGUUGAUCUCAAAUUCUUUAUAAUAUAUGUUAUCAAUCUCCCGUAGUUACUUAUAUAUGAUUUAGCAAAAAAUAGACAGCUGCUAAGUUAUAUUAUUUGUAACUUACAAUUGACCCAAAAUUAGUUUCUCAAGACCCCUACGAGUUUGACAACAAACUUUACAUUUUGAAUAAUAACUGAUUUUGAAUUGACUUAAGUUAGAAAUGAAAUGACUUAUUAGUAAGACCCAGCAAAAACCCGUCCGCAUUAGAGAAUUUUCAUAAGUACACUAUAUAAUAAAGUAAAGAAAAAGUAUGACAUACAUAUUAAGAAGUGGCAGAGAGGCCCAUUCUGAAGGGAUAGUGCCACUAAGGUAGUUGCGAGGGAGACUACUGUUCAUGUCAGACAGUUAAUUAAUUUCGUUAAUUAUAUAUGUAACAAAAUGAACAUAUGUAAAUGUCUAAUGGGAAAAGUUAUAGUUAAUGAAGGGUAAAUUGGAAUGGAGAAGUGCUUACAUAUCUUGGAGGAAAGUGUACAGCAGUAGAAUUAGAAACUGAGAAAAAUUAAAAAAAUACUCAGUUUUUCUAUUUCAAAGCAUCAAGAUUCUUGAUUGGAGAAUAAUAUAAUGUUCUUAGCUUUUAAAUCACAUGGAAAACAGAGUUAGCAUUGCGAUAAUAAUGAUUACAAUGGUCAAAGUCUAAGGAGUACAAUUGCUGAAAAUUAGACUGCUGUACCGUACAUCCGCCUUGGCCGUACAGCAGUUCAUAUUGGUCCUCAACAAGAAUUUUUUAUAAGUAACAAAAUGAACAUAUGUAAAUGUCUAAUGGGAAAAGUUAUAGUUAAUGAAGGGUAAAUUGGAAUGGAGAAGUGCUUACAUAUCUUGGAGGAAAGUCAGUUCGGCCAAUUUUGGUGGGAGAACUCCUGUGAGAUUCUGCUCCUUCAGAACUCUGUUUGAGUAGAAAAGUAUGAGACUUGAUUUAUGUAUUUACUUAAAAAAGGGAAAAAAAAAAAAGGCAAGUGAAUAAUAUAGAUAAACAAACAAAUAAUGCAGGGGCGUUUGGUUACUUUGAUUUGGUACCGUUUUUGGUUUACCGUUUUCUGUUUUCCAGAAAUGAAAAAUAAGAAACGUGUUUAGUGGCACCAUUUCUCAGCCUGUUUUUUUAUCAGACUGAAAAUGAGUACAACUCAUUUUGCACCAUCAUCAAAGGAAAAGAGAAAAAUGAUAAAAUAUUUGUUUGCAUAGAUAUCGCAUAUGUCUUCUUUCGAGAUUCGGCCGCACAUCUGAAAACAAACAAUUGUGUACGAUCAAACAAUUUGGCCCCCCCGCAAACUAUAAAAAGAUGAGUUCCAAAUAAAUAUAGGACGGUAACAAAUGAGGCAUGUAAAACCGGAGUGAACGAACACAAAAUUUUUUACAUGGUUCGACAAAUUAUCUUAUGUGCUGUGUCCUUGCCUCUAAAAAAAAAUAAAAAUAAAACGUUGUGGUUUAAUAGGGUGUAUAUGUCGUUUUAUCUAUUAUUAAUUACUGUUUGCAAAAGAAUUUAUAUUUAAUAUUGAGCUGAUCUGUACUCAACUCUUCAUACGUACAGAAUAGAUGAUUAAAAUGUAAUUAGUUUUAUAUUCUUGUCUAACUAUUAAUUGUGUAUUACUGAAUCUAAAUCCGCGCAAAAAGCUUUAUGAGAUAGAGAUAGGGACAUAUAAAUGUACGUACAUACGGAAAACAUAGCAAACGGUGCCGUUAGAGAAGGAGCAAUUGCAGGUGACAGCAUUCUCUUCUGGAAUCUCAGCCCAUCCCUCUUCUCCACUGCAUGGAUCUACGCUGAAGUUCCAGUCCUUCUUCCCUAGCGUAUUGGCUAUAUCUUUUAAAGCUUGUACUGCAUGCAUCAAAUUGUUACAAACACGUACGGCUAAGUUUAACUGAUAGCGUUCAACAAUAUCAGUCUGUAUAUCAGUAUACAUGCAUACAUAUAGAUAUAUAUAUAUAUGUGUGUGUGUGUUUGUAAAGUAACAAGUAUCAGCCUUCCAAAAAAAAUAUAUAUAUAUUAGCAAGUUUGAAACCAUUAUGUCCUCCGGAUUAAAUUUACUUAAUCCGGAUUUUACGACAGCAUAUAUUUAAAUAUAAGUUCCCUCUGUUCAGAGAGGUUAAUAAAAUCUCUGUUCAGAGAGGUUAAUAAAAUAAAAAUGAUAUAUAAUUGCACAGACUUUCUUUCUUUCUCUCUAGCUAGCAUACCUUCAUUUUCUGGCAAGAUGGCUCCAGAAGCAAGAGCGCUUACGAGGGCAAGGGCAGUAAGUGAAAGAAAAAGAAGACGAUGAAACAUCUCUUUUUUUUUUCCCUCCCCACUUUUGCUGAAGAAAUUCAGCAAUAGCUGCUUUAAUUUGAGAGUGAAAAACGAUUAAUUCGGAGAAUUGGUUGCAAAGUUUAUGAUUUUUAUUUUUUUAUAAGAGGAUGGGAAUUGAAUUCUGCGUGGAAAAAUGAAAGAAGACUUGACUUGACCCUUAGUAAAUGAUGGCAACAAGAGUGUAUUACUUUUAAGUAAUGAUAGAGUCAGAACUAUUUGGUACAAUAAGUGUUUAUAAAUUUAUUUCUGGCUCUAUUAUUAUUAAUUACUUUAUCCGAUUCAGAUCCUUUUAUGAUUGGAUAAAUUUUAGAGUAUAUCUGAAAUGUUAUAUCUAAUUAAUAUAAUUUUUUAAAAUAAAUAUACACAUAAUAUACAUACAUUAAUUGAAUAUAACACAUUUAAUGUAUUCUAAAAUCACUCUAUGAACCGUCGCAUUAUUAAAUUCAAUGGCUAGGAUUUAUUCUCUUGUUAAUUUUUCAUUUCACAAUUAUUGAUACAUAUUGUUUUGUCCGUAACAAAAAGUCAACAGCACGUGUGGUUGGAUGACGGUCAUAUCUUAUCAAAAUCAACUUAAUUUGAGCCCUAGGAAUCACAACUUGAAUUGCUGGGAACCAAAGAACCAUAUCUCUACCGAGAGAUUUGUGUCAAAAGCAGCCAUCCAACUAGAUGGUCAACAUUCAAAGAAGAGAAAUUUUGCAGCAAGUUGGAAAGGAAAAGGAGCACACGGGCUUGGCAUUGAAAAGAAGAAGUUGGCAACUACUUUGAAAUAUAUACAUAUAUAUAUAUAUUAAUUUAAUAGCCAUUUCAUUUUCAUUCAAUUCCAUCGAGAGAAAUCUUUCUUUCUUUUGAGUGUUGAGAGUUUUCAAGAGUUUAAUAAACUCUUGAGUGUCUAGUGAGUGAGAGAUUGGGUGUAUUAGGGUUUUGGGUAGUGAGCUAAAAUCUUACAAUAUUUGUAAUCCUUAUUUCACUAGUAAAAUAUUUCUUUCUGUUUUCGCCCGUGGACGUAGGCUAAAAAAGCCGAACCAUGUAAUUUCUGGUGUCCUCUAGUGUGCUUGUUCUUUAUUUUCUUCCAAUUUCAUUUUAGCUGCGGUCCUGCUUCACCCACCAAUUUCCUAACAGUGGUAUCAGAGCCAUUGGUUGUAUUUUUGGAGUCCGGAAUUGUUCACGUAUACGGCGUACGGAACUAUUCACGUAUACGGUGUACAACACUAUUCACGUAUACGGCGUACGGUACUAUUCACGUAUACGAUAUACGGCACUAUUGACGUAUACGGUACUAUUCACAUAUACGGUACUAUUUACGUGAAACGGUGGAAGCGAUCCAAGAAUUUUGCGGUGCAAAGCUUAAGGAGUCUGGGUUUUAAGUGAGACCAUUGUGACCCCUCCAGUCUUUCCUGGGAACUUUCCUGGUGUGCAUUCUCACACAUACUCACAACUAUUCAAGGUGGUACGCUAGCUUGUGUGCAGUAUUAUCAACAAAAUGGCGGCAAAGUAUGAAAUUGAGAAGUUUAACGGAAAUAAUUUUUCGUUGUGGAAAAUGAAGAUGAAAGCUGUAUUGAGGAAAAAUAAUUGUUUGGCAGCAAUUGGAGAAAGGCCCAUGGAGAUAACUGAUGACAAGUGGAACGAGGUAGACGGCAACGCUAUUUCUGAUCUACACUUUUGGCAGCAAUUGGGAGUAUUAUCCAGUGUGGCAGAGAAAAACACAGCGAAGGAAAUAUGGGAUACUCUCACAAAAUUGUACGAGGCCAAGUCACUACACAACAAAAUCUUCUUGAAGAGGAAACUCUAUACUCUUCGAAUGGCGGAAUCUACAAUGGUGACCGACCACAUCAACACNNNNNNNNNNNNNNNNNNNNNNNNNNNNNNNNNNNNNNNNNNNNNNNNNNNNNNNNNNNNNNNNNNNNNNNNNNNNNNNNNNNNNNNNNNNNNNNNNNNNNNNNNNNNAAACUCUAUACUCUUCGAAUGGCGGAAUCUACAAUGGUGACCGACCACAUCAACACAUUGAAGACUCUAUUUUCACAACUCACAACGUUGGGUCAUAAUAUAGAGGAAAAUGAACGUGCAGAGCUUCUACUUCAAAGUCUACCAGAUUCGUAUGAUCAACUCAUCAUCAACCUGACGAACAACAAUCCAGUGGAGGGUCUAGUUUUCGAAGAUGUUGCAGCCUCCGUAUUAAAUGAGCAGAGCAGGCGGAAAAACAAGGAAAACAGACAAGCAAGUUCGCAGCAAGCAGAAGCGCUAUCGGUGACGAGAGGGAGAUCAACGGAACGUGGUCCCAGUGGGAGUCAAAAUCAGGGUAGAUCAAAAUCCAGAAGUAAGAAGAAUGUUAAAUGCUACAAAUGUGGCAAGAAAGGGCACGUCAAGAAAGAUUGUUGGAGUAACCAGAAGAGAAAAGAGGGCAAAGAACCUAAGUCAUCAAAUGCUCAGGGUUGUGUAGCAAGUACCUCGGAUGAUGGCGAAAUUCUUUACAGUGAGGCAACAACUGUUUCAGAAGGCAGAAAACGACUUUAUGAUGUCUGGCUUAUAGACUCAGGAGCUACCUGGCACAUGACCUCUAGGAGAGAAUGGUUCCACACAUAUGAACCUAUCUCAGGAGGAUCUGUAUAUAUGGGAGAUGAUCAUGCCUUGGAGAUCGCUGGUAUUGGUACUAUCAAAAUAAAAAUGUUUGAUGGUACAAUUCGGACAAUUGGAGAGGUACGACAUGUCAACGGCCUGAAGAAAAAUCUAUUGUCUUUGGGACAAAUAGACAGUCAUGGGUGCAAAACUCAUGUGGAGAAUGGAAUAAUGAAGAUCAUUAAAGGCGCGCUUGUAUUGAUAAAGGCAGAAAAGAUCGGUGCUAAUUUAUUCAUGCUUAAAGGAGAAACACUACAGGAGGCUGAUGCGUGUGUCGCGUCAAAUGGAGAAGAAUCAACGAUGAUGUGGCAUCUCAAACUUGGCCACAUGUCAGAACAAGGCUUGAAGAUUCUCUCUGAGCGAAAAUUGCUUCCGAGGCUCAAAUCGGUAAGUUUACCAUUUUGCGAGCAUUGUGUUACAAGUAAGCAGCAUAGAUUAAAAUUUAGUAGAUCUAUUGCUAGAAGUAAAUGCAUUCUAGACUUGAUUCAUUCUGAUGUUUGGGAAUCACCGGAUAUAUCCAUGGGAGGUGCAAAGUACAUGGUGACUUUCAUUGAUGAUUAUUCCAGAAGAUGUUGGGUGUAUCCAAUUAAGAAAAAGUCAGAUGUAUUUCAUGUGUUUAAAGAAUACAAAGCGCGGGUGGAACUUGAAUAUGGUAAAAAGAUCAAGUGCUUGAGGACAGAUAAUGGUGGAGAAUAUACAGACGGCGAGUUUCUUGCUUUCUGUAAGCAAGAAGGUAUUCAGAGGCAGUUCACGAUGGCAUACACUCCUCAACAAAAUGGAGUGGCAGAACGGAUGAACAGAACUCUUACAGAAAGAAUAAGAGCUAUGUUGAAGACUGCUGGUCUACCCAAUUCAUUCUGGGCAGAAGCAGCCAAAACUGCCUGUUAUAUAGUAAAUCGGUCGCCAUCUACAGCUAUUGGGUUGAAGACAGCGAUGGAGAUGUGGACUGGAAAGCCAGCUGAUUAUUCCUACCUACAUGCAUUUGGAUGUCAUGUGUACGUGAUGUACAAUGCCCAAGAAAGAACAAAGCUGGAUCCAAAAUCUAGAAGAUGUAUCUUCUUAGGGUAUGCUGAUGGAGUAAAGGGGUAUCNNNNNNNNNNNNNNNNNNNNNNNNNNNNNNNNNNNNNNNNNNNNNNNNNNNNNNNNNNNNNNNNNNNNNNNNNNNNNNNNNNNNNNNNNNNNNNNNNNNNNNNNNNNNNNNNNNNNNNNNNNNNNNNNNNNNNNNNNNNNNNNNNNNNNNNNNNNNNNNNNNNNNNNNNNNNNNNNNNNNNNNNNNNNNNNNNNNNNNNNNNNNNNNNNNNNNNNNNNNNNNNNNNNNNNNNNNNNNNNNNNNNNNNNNNNNNNNNNNNNNNNNNNNNNNNNNNNNNNNNNNNNNNNNNNNNNNNNNNNNNNNNNNNNNNNNAGUAGAUCUAUUGCUAGAAGUAAAUGCAUUCUAGACUUGAUUCAUUCUGAUGUUUGGGAAUCACCGGAUAUAUCUAUGGGAGGUGCAAAGUACAUGGUGACUUUCAUUGAUAAUUAUUCCAGAAGAUGUUUGGUGUAUCUAAUUAAGAAAAAGUCAGAUGUAUUUCUAGUGUUUAAAGAAUACAAAGCGUGGGUGGAACUUGAAUCUGGUAAAAAGAUCAAGUGCUUGAGGACAGAUAAUGGUGGAGAGUAUACAGACGGCGAGUUUCUUAGUUUCUGUAAGCAAGAAGGUAUUCAGAGGUAGUUCACGGUGGCAUACACUCCUCAACAAAAUGGAGUGGCGGAGCGGAUGAACAGAACUCUUACAGAAAGAAUAAGAGCUAUGUUGAGGACUGCUGGUCUACCCAAUUCAUUCUGGGCAGAAGCAGCCAAAACUGCCUGUUAUAUAGUAAAUCGGUCGCCAUCUACAGCUAUCGGGUUGAAGACGGCGAUGGAGAUGUGGACUGGAAAGCCAGCUGAUUAUUCCUACCUACAUGCAUUUGGAUGUCCUGUGUACGUGAUGUACAAUGCCCAAGAAAGAACAAAGCUGGAUGCAAAAUCUAGAAGAUGUAUCUUCUUGGGGUAUGCUGAUGGAGUAAAGGGGUAUUGUCUGUGGGACCCCACUGCCCACAAGAUCGUCAUCAGUAGAGAUGUUAUUUUUAUAGAAGAUCAACUGCAAAGAAAAGAUGGAGAUGAUGGCACUGUAAAAGAAAAGUCAGAGACUGUGCCAGUAUAUGUCGAAAAUAAUCCAGAAGAUUUAGAUUCUUCUGAAACAACACCAGAGCACGAGAAACAAGAACCAGUCGAGUCUGAGGCUCAAGAAGUUCGUCGGUCAACUCGUGAGAGACGACCGCCGGCGUGGCACUCGGAGUAUGUCACAGAGAUCAACGUUGCAUACUGUCUUCUAACAGAAGAUGGAGAGCCUUCAACUUUCCAUGAAGCUUUAAACAGCUCAGAUGUUGCUUUGUGGAUGACAGCAAUGCAGGAAGAAAUUGAGGUUCUACACAAGAACAAGACAGGGGAACUUGUACCACUACCACGUGGAAGAAAAGCCAUUGGAAACAAAUGGGUCUACAAGAUCAAACGUGAUGGUAAUGACCAAGUGGAGCGGUAUCGUGCGAGAUUGGUGGUGAAAGGAUAUGCUCAGAAAGAAGGCAUUGACUUCAACGAGAUAUUUUCGCCCGUGGUUCGACUCACAACAGUCAGAGUAGUCUUGGCAAUGUAUGCUACAUUUGACUUACAUCUAGAGCAGUUAGAUGUCAAAACUGCAUUUCUUCAUGGAGAACUUGAAGAAGAAAUAUAUAUGCUCCAACCAGAAGGUUUUGCAGAAACAGGAAAAGAGAACUUGGUUUGCAGAUUGAACAAAUCUCUAUACGGUCUCAAACAGGCGCCGAGGUGUUGGUAUAAGAGAUUUGAUUCCUUCAUUAUGAGCCUUGGAUACAACAGACUCAGUUUAGACCAUUGUGCAUAUUACAAGAGGUUUGAAGAUAAUGAUAUCAUCAUUUUGCUGUUGUAUGUGGAUGACAUGUUGGUAGCAGGUCCCAACAAAGAUCGAAUCCAAGAAUUGAAGGCACAGUUGCCUAGGGAGUUUGAAAUGAAGGACUUGGGACCAGCAAACAAGAUUCUAGGGAUGCAAAUUCACCGAGACAAAAAUAACAGGAAGAUUUGGCUUUCUCAGAAAAAUUACUUGAAGAAAAUCUUGCGGCGCUUCAACAUGCAAGAUUGUAAGUCAAUUUCUACCCCACUUCCUGUUAAUUUCAAAUUAUCCUCAAGUAUGUGUCCUAGCAAUGAAGCAGAGAGGAAGGAGAUGUCUCGAGUACCGUAUGCAUCAGCAGUGGGAAGUUUGAUGUUCGCUAUGAUAUGUACUAGACCGGACAUUGCACAAGCAGUGGGAGCAGUCAGUCGAUACAUGACGAAUCCUGGUGGAGAGCAUUGGAUAGCUGUGAAGAGGAUUCUGAGAUACAUCAGAGGAACAUCAGAUGUUGCAUUAUGUUAUGGAGGAUCAGAGUUUACUGUCAGAGGCUAUCUGGAUUCAGAUUUUGCAGGAGAUCUUGAUAAAAGAAAAUCCACUACUGGUUAUGUGUUUACACUUGCGGGAGCAGCUGUAAGCUGGGUUUCGAAACUGCAGACCGUUGUAGCUUUAUCUACAACAGAAGCAGAGUACAUGGCAGCUACACAAGCUUGCAAGGAAGCUAUCUGGAUACAAAGAUUAUUGGAGGAGCUCGGGCACAAACAACAGAAAAUUCCUGUAUUUUGUGACAGUCAGAGUGCCUUGCACAUUGCAAGGAAUCCAGCCUUUCAUUCCAGGACAAAGCACAUAGGAGUUCAGUAUCACUUCGUUCGAGAAGUAGUGGAAGAUGGAAGUGUGGAUUUACAGAAAAUCCAUACGAAGGAGAACCUAGCAGAUGUUUUGACCAAGCCGAUAAAUACUGAUAAGUUUNNNNNNNNNNNNNNNNNNNNNNNNNNNNNNNNNNNNNNNNNNNNNNNNNNACGGGCUUGGCAUUUAAAAGAAGAAGUUGGCAACUACUUUGAAAUAUAUACAUAUAUAUAUUAAUUUAAUAGCCAUUUUUUGGCUAUAAAAGGAAGAGCUUCCUCAUUCAUUUUCAUUCAAUUCCAUCGAGAGAAAUCUUUCUUUCUUUUGAAUGUUGAGAGUUUUCAAGAGUUUAAUAAACUCUUGAGUGUCUAGUGAGUGAGAGAUUGGGUGUAUUAGGAUUUUGGGUAGUGAGCUAAAAUCUUACAAUACUUGUAAUCCUUAUUUCACUAGUAAAAUAUUUCUUUCUGUUUUCGCCCGUGGACGUAGGCUAAAAGUUGAACCACGUAAUUUUCUAGUGUCCUCUUUGUGCUUGUUCUUUUUGAUCCCUACAAUUAAUUGCUUGAAUUGAUCUGAUGACAAUUGAUUGCCUGUUUCAUAUGCCAAAAAGUAAAGCUCAAAGCUUAAGUUAGAGAAAAUCAAGGGCGUUCCCAUUGAGUCUAUCUUCAAAGAUGAUCUAAAAUUUAAAAGCAUUCACAUAUGAGUUGGACUCUUGGCACCCUUUAGAAGUCGAUUUUCAUUGGAGAGAAUUGCAAGCUUUAACUGUUAUUUAUAGUACAAUAAAUUAAAUUGUUCAUGAAGAGCGAUCAUUGUAUUACCUUUCAAACACCAUUAAUUAUUAGCAGAGCCAUAAAAAAGAUGAGACAAGUGUGUUCAUGGAAUUGAACAAUUUAGAAUAGUUUUAAUUAAGGUUAUCUUAACUAAUAGUUCAUAUAUUCUAAAAAAUAAUAAUUGAUACUUGUUUUUUAUUAAAAUUUUUAUUUCGCUUAUUUUCAAGUGAGCAACUUAAUGUUAUUUUACAAAAGAUUUUUCGUUCCUGUUGGGAGUUGAAAAUUAGAAAUAAAUCACAAUGAUAAUGAAAUUUGUUUUAAUCAAGUGUGAGCGAGUAAGAAGAAUCAGAAAAAUAAGAGGAGAGAGAAAAUAAAAAAGGAAACAAAGAAAAGAAAAAGGAAUUUGUGAGUAAGAGGAAUGGAAACCAAUUGAUUUGGAGUUUGAAGAGGGAAAUUGUAACACUGCCGCAUUGGGGUUUGGGGUUUCAAUGUUUCAUGAAGAAUAGUUUAAAUUAAAGUUAUUUUUGUCAUUAAUGGUGACGUUAUAAGAUAUUCAAAUUAUUUUAAAGGAAAGGUUACCUAGAGCUAGCUUAGUAAUGCUGUAACUUUUAAAAUAAUUGCUGUUCUUAUACCAAUUAAUAGAGCAAGAUAAAAGUGUUGGAUUUUUAAUCCAAUAUUGUUGGAUCUUUAAUCUAAUGUUGGGUUUAUAUGUGAAUAAUCAUGUGUUGCAGACUGUCAUAUAAAGUUAAACCCAAUUAAAAGUGAUCUAUUAAGGUUUUCGGUAUUAUGGACUUUAAUGUAUCUAAUUAGGUGUAGACCUUUAAUGUAUAGAGACUCAAUAUUAUUCUAAUUCUAUAAUGGGCAGAAUUAGCAAUACCUAAUGAUAACAGGAAAAAGUUGUCUAUAUAAGUGGUUAUAGUCCCUAGGUCAUACGUAUGUUUCUAUUCUUUAUUGACAUCCCAUCAUGAGAGAGAGUAGUGAGAAACUUAAAAGAUUCUCUAAGAGAACGUGUAGAUCUAGAAGGUCAACCACACAACUGUGGAGAGCAAUUCAACGUUAUGGAUUCAGGUAUGCUUCCGUAUAAUUCAUUAUUGAUUCUUAGUGAUACAACAUGAAUAUUCAUGGGUUAUAGGUGAUGGUAUUCAUUAAUGAUGGCGUUAUAAGAUAUUCAAAUUUUUUUAAGGGUGAGAUUACCUAGGGUCAGCUUGGUAAUAUUGUAACUUUUAAAACAAUUACUGUUCUUAUAUCAAUUAAUAGAGCAAGAUAAAAGAAACAAAAUGAUAAUAUAAAUAAACACUAGAUAUCAUUUUAGCACUAGACCAAACCAACGUGAUUAUACUAUGAUAUAAUCGAAGUAUGAUUAGAUCUCGUUCUAAUUUAAACGAUUCAAUGAGAUUUAACAACACUUUAAGUAAGAUUAGAUUACUCUAAUUCAAAUAAUUUUACAAGAGAGAUUUUGAUAGUUAAUCCCAAAAGAAUUAUAAAAAAAAGGUUUUGUUUGAUAUAUUAAUCAAAAGAUUAUAAAAACAAUAAGAAGAUCUCCUUAUUUAUAAUAUGGUAAACAUACCUCCACAAGUUAACUUAAAAAAGAAAAUCAAAUAACAAUUAUAAUGGAAAUAGAAGAUUAAAACACAUAUCAUGAUGUGUCAAUACUAUUUUAUUAGUACGAUUAUCAAUCUUUAAUUAAACUAAUAUAAUGUCCUUAUGGUAUAAUACUAGUCAUGCAAAUUAUUUGACUGUCAAAUUUGUGUAAUUUACAUGUAGAGUAUUGAAAAUUAUUAUAUUUUAUUUAAAAAUGUUAGUUAUAAGUCAAAAAAUUAAAUAUCUAAACUAUUAUACACAUGAAUAUAUAUUUAUUGGGCAAUUUGUUAUUGUGUGUCAUAAGAAUAAAAUAAAGUCAAUUAAAACUUAUGUUAACUUAAAUGAUCAAAGAAACCUAUGUAAGAAAAUAGUUAUAAGAUGAUUUAAUGAAUUUAUUGUAAAAUUUUUAUUGUUGAUUCAUAUUUAUUAAAACUAAUUUAAGAUUAUUAUAAAUAUGUUUUCCUAAGUCGGGUGGGUUUAUAUAGAUAGACGGGACAAUAAGGUGAAAAUAUCCCCACCUAUUACAUCCCCAGAUUCACCGUGGUUUCCCAAAAAAAAAAAAAUUUUUAAUUGCGACAAAACAUAUUUAUACUAAAAUAAAUAUCAAGUCAAUAUAUUACAAUUAACCUAAUAUUUAAUCGCGUAAUAAUUAGGUUGACGUAUUGGAAUAAAACUUUAAACUUAAACCCGACAAAAUUAGGAAAUGAACUUACUGACUCGUGUUCAUAUUGGAUUUAUCAUAUCGCUGACCCGUGGCCCACACUCAUUCGUGCAACGUACUUUUUCACAAUUGUUGACAUUGUUUUUUUCGUAGACUAAGUUAACAACAUGUCCCUGGAGCUGGCUACGGUACAGAUUCUGUAACAUACAGACCGGGUUAGCCAGCUCCCCAAGGGUGCCAUUUUGUCACGGGACGAGAGGUUUCAAGCCCGUGCAGUACUCCCGCAUCCCAUACUACGAGAGUAAGCCUAGUGGAAGUGGCAUAAUAUUGACUGGUUUCGCCCUGUCUUGGGCUCAUCAGGAGAACGACUUCCGUUCCCAACCAGUGUGUGUAGGGUUUCGCCUAGACCCCUCUUCAAGAUUAAGUCCUCGACUAGCGACAAGCUCCCCAAAAUCAAUCGGGUCGGCCUGCCUGAACUCCAAAGAGUCUAGGGCCAUUGUAUUCCCCACACGCACGCCCCUGAAGCACGUCUCCAACAAUCAGCACAACCAUCAUCGACACUAGCGUACAAGCGCAUAUCUUGGGUGCCACGAUUGCGGUUCGUGACAUUCUCCCACCGCCAUGACCAUGCACAUCCUCGUGCAUGAAGAGUACGCCUCGCAAAUGUGCACUUCCGCGCGAAAACGUGAAGAUCGGCUUGCCAAUCUCACCCAUGAACUCCUUGCCUACUCGUCCUCGAUCCGGGGAGAGGACCCACGUGCAGACGCUACCCAACUCAGUGCGAACGCUUGGGGGUGUGAGAACCCACUUGUUCGUCCCGCUUGUCGACCCUUGCGCCCAAAAGGGUGGGGACCUGCGUGGUGCGGCAUUGGAGCGCUUGGCGAGCUCGCAACGAGGGCUUCGAGAGAUGACAAGCGCGGCUCUGAUACCAUUUGUCACGGGACGAGAGGUUUCGAGCCCGUGCGGCACUCCCGCAUCCCAUACUACGAGAGUAAGCCUAGUGAAAGUAGCAUAAUAUCGAUUGGUUUCGCCCUGCCUUGGGCUCAUCAGGAGAACGGCUCCAGUUCCCAACUAGUGUGUGUAGGGUUUCGCCUAGACCCCUCUUCAAGGUUAAGUACUCGACUAGUGACAAGCUCCCCAAACUCAACCGGGUCGGCCUGCCUGAACUUCAAAGAGUUUAGGGCCAUUGUAUUCCCCAUACGCACGUCCCUGAAGCACGUCUCCAACAAUCAGCACAACCAUCAUCGACACUAGCGUACAAGCGCAUAUCUUAGGUGCCACGAUUGCGGUUCGUGACAAUUUGCUUGCUUUAUUUCCAAUGCGGGAACACGUGGAGUGUAUGGAGUGGGGGAUGUGUGUUAUGGAAUCUGUAACAUAGAUUUCUCCCCAUGUCCCUGACUGGAAAAUUGUUACCAAUCACGUCUUAUCAAAUAAAGGGGAGUGAGGUGCCACUGUGUUUUUGCUCGUGACGUGAAAUUUAAACCAAGAAAUUUGGUAUAAUGGUAACAAAAAUAUCGUUAUAUUUUUAUUCGGAUGUGACAUUAUUUUUAUCAUUUUGGUAUGUGACAUUGUUUUUAUCAUUUUGGUAUGCAUCUUUUUGUUAAGACUCUUUGUCAUUUUUCCUUGAGCUCUAGGAGCUGUGAUAUUCCUCGGAACCAUAGAACUAUACGUAAUUACAUACUUGCAUCUGUAAUUAAGAACACUUACCCAGAGAUUUGUUCCCUUCAAUUCAUUGGUACGACAAUUUCUCUCAUGUUAAUUAUAACCAUGAUGUGGCUCAUAAUUCACAAUUGAUUGAAUUGGUCUGAUGAUUGUUUCAUAUGCCAAAAAGUAAAGCUCAAAUUAAACGUAACUUGGAGAAAAUCAAAGACUUCAUCAUUUUCAUGUUUUUAUUGGGUCUCAUAAUUUUUCCUUGUUGGAAAUUUCGAACGUGCAAAAGAAGUUAAAAACUUUUAUUAGUUUAUAUAAGAACUGAUUGUCAUGGCCGAGAUAAAUCUGAAUUUCCUUUUUUAUUAUGGAUAAUUCAUAAUUGGAUAUGGAUACGAGUGGGAUGAAUCAUCCACCGCAGAUAUGCCCCAUUGCUAUAAAUACUAACCAGUAACAACAAUUGCUUGAUUAAUGUUUUGUUUGAAGACUUCAAUCAAUUUUGAUUCAACCGAGAUCAUAACUUUGUCAUGCAUGCAGUCGCACUCUAUAAAAUGCUCGAGUGUUAGCACCUAAUUAAGAUUGAUAUUCUACGUGCACAAGCACUAAUCGUGUAAAUAAAUUAAGAGUGAUGAUAGAGCCAUAAACUCUUGUACAAACUUAUCUUGUACAAAUUGAUGUGGCAUUAAUUCAUUAGUUGAAUGAAAAUACAAAAUAACAAAAAUAAAUCAUGUGGGCAAAAAAAUAUUUAAUUCAACCAAUUUUAUUAUGCCAUAUCAGUUUGUACAAGAUAAAUUUAUAUACGAGUUUGUAACUCUAUCAUUACUAAUAAAUUAAUUAAAUAUUUUUCUUUCUAAUUGUGACAAUCAGCACAAAGAAAAAUUGACAUGCCACGUAUUUGUAAUUAAGUUCCCUUAGAUAUUUAUCUUUGAAUGUGUGACAUGGCAAACACGGACUUUGGAGUAGUUUUGGGGUUGUUAGUCAUUGACUUUGGAGUAGCUGUGGGGUUGUUAGUCAUUGACUUUGGAGUAACUUUAUUGGGUGAUCGACGAUCUAUCUCCAUAUAAACACUGCAUCCACCUUUGGAGUUAGGAAAGUUGUAACUGCUAACUUCAGUGUUGUUACAAGCGUUUAUCCUUGCAUCCAUUUGAUCUAAUUGAGCUUUCAUAAAUUGAAAACUCUCCUGAUACAUUCUCCGUUCUCGUGCCAACUCCGUAGAGUAAGGAAUAUUGAAAUACAUGGAUGGGGUGAUGAAUUGACCCAAUCUUUGCACCUGACUUCUAUUAGACUUCUUUUGAAGGAUUUCACAUAGGAUAUCAUUCGGUCCUUGGGAUUGGAACGUUCCUUGCUCAACUUGGCUUCUUAGCUCACUGUACAAAAUAAAUACAAAAAUAUUUAAUCAAAAUUAGGAAUAAAAAAAUAAGUUAAAUAAUGACAGUUUAAACAUACAUCACAUUACCAACAUUUUUCGAAAUAAACAAAGCAACCUAAUCUGUCAAUUUACAUGAUUUUGUAUUAUAAAAUAAUUCAGGCAGCUUUCAGUUUCAAACUAUUUGCAUUGGUAUUUUUCAGUGGUGGUGGAAACUUACAAUUAUUUCAACCAUUUGCUACACAUUAGCUGUAUAAGUUCCAUCUUUUUUUCCUGUGACCCAAUAACCAAACUUCACCGCGGUCAAUCUUGCGCUCAGAAACUCCGAGGUCCAACUGCUAUAAUAAUUCAAUAAAAAUUAAAUUCAAAACUGCUAUGAAUCAUCUUAUUAUUUGUAUUGAAAAUGUCAUAAGUUUGUAUAAAGUGGUUAUUGUACUUACUCUUUUAUGCAACAACCCAUCAUAUCUUGUGCUGCCCAAGUGAUGAUUGUACACAUUCUUCGCUGCCUUACUUUUUUCCUGCACAAAGUGGAUAUUGAUUAAAAUGGUUACAGGAACUCAAUAAUAUUAUCUAACUAACAAAAUUUUAAACAUAUCUGAAAGUCUUCGGAUAAAAUCUUAUCAACAAAGCUCUUCCAGUCCUCUUUUCUAAUGCCUUCAUACUCAAGAUGAGGCUUUUUCAGUGAACUCAAGCUGUUUGCAUUGGGCAAAAUAUAUUCAUUGGCCAACUUACAUCUAAAGCCCCUUAAUGCAAUUCCCAUCCACUUGAAAACUUGGGUUUUCACCUUAAGGCUCAACUUGAACUUUUCCUGAAAAUGAGUCUAUAACGUCUCCUUGAUGUCUAGUGGCACUUUCCUCCAAUCAUCAUAUAUAAUUGGAACUCUUUCCCAUACAAUCACCCCAAUGUAGUUUCUCAGAUCAUUUAUCUUUUUUCCAACUGGAACUCCAUACGAAUUGUACAUAACCUCAGUCUCAUCACUAACUCCUCUCUGCAAGUUUUUCUUCUUUGUAAGGUUUCGUCUUGGUCUUCCUUCCAGAUCUAGAUCAUAUGUUGGCUCCUCAUUUUCUGCCAUGUCUCUAACAAACCUACAAAUACAUAAAAGUGGAUGAGUGCACCAGAUACCAUUAUAAUAUCCCAAUAUAAUAAUAAAAUAAUAAAAAACAAAUUAGUUGCUGACUUACGGGAAGUAGUGCUAAUAAGGCAUAGUAGUUGGAUUAUUCAUUUUCCGCAUCAAUAUUUACAUGAAAAACAUCAACAACUGAUCUUACACAAAUUCCUCAUCACCCAAAUCUAACUUACAUUCUGGAAAAUUGUUGGAUAAUAGCACAUACUCAUUAAUGCCAUUCAUUUGAAUAGUUACAUUUUUCACUCACUGAACAAACAAUUGAUUUACUAUUAUCUAACUGAUCAUUCACAUAAAACACUUGCUUUGCAUGACCAGCUAAAAUGAAACAGUUAUAUUUGUAGCCUAUCCGAUCUAAAUUGACUACAGUGAACCCUAACUCAUCAACGUUAACCCCUCUAUCAUCUACCCAAUCGCACUUGAAAAGUACCUUCUUAACCCCCAGAUAAUCAAGCUGCCAAAUUUCAUUGACAACCCCAUAAAAAGGCAUAUCCCUAGAAUGAGGAUUUUUGUCUUUCGAACUUGAAAUCUGUAAAGUGUUAGCAACAACAUAAACGCCAUUGUUUUGUGUUAUGCGGUUGUUGUCCCGAUCUCUCGUAUCAAAAUUAAAACCAUUAAUACAAUAGUCUUCAUAUGUAACCACGCUUGAGCGGGGUUUGUUUGCCAACCACCAUACUUUUUCGUCAACCACUUCAUUAUUUGUUUUAUCAGUUUUUAGUUGUUACCUAUUGUUUAAUUAAUGAAACCACCAUAAUUAUUUGAAAGAGAAAAAUUUGUUUACCUUUACUCUGGUACUUUUAUUAGACCCAAUGAAGGUAAUCUAACUUUUUGUUUCAGCCAAUCAACAAAUGUACGGGAGUGCUCGGUUGGCAACCAUAAAGGCUUUUCUAUUUGACAAGGGUGUUUUGAUUGUAGUAAGGCCAAAUGCUCCAUAAAAGUAUACCAACAUAAUUAAUAAAAUUGAAAAAAAAAACUUAAUGAAAAAGAGGUGCAAAUUUUUAGUCACAUACUCUAUAUAUGGUUGAAUCUCAGGGGUGUUCACCAAAACACAUCGGUGCGCUUGCGCCAAUGUAGGGGCAUCAACCGCCUUAAUAUUUGCACCUCUGAGUGGUCUUUCGACUGUAAAAUCAAUUAGACAACCAGUAGAUAGUCUGAUUGAUUUAUAAUUUGAAAGGUAUUCAACACAAAAUUCAAGUGCUUCCUCAACUAUAUAGCACUCUGCAAUGCAACCUUCAGGACGGUAUCAAUUGUGUACAUAAUCCUUUAUAGGUUUCAUUUCUCUCUUAAAUGGAUACAUCCAUCGAUAGUGAACCAGGCCACAUAAUCUAACUUAUUCAAGUAUAUGGUCUGUUAAAGGGACCAUUAUAUCGAAAAAGGCAGGUAUGAAAGAUUGUUCUAAAUUGUAUAAGGUGAUUAUUAAGUUUAUUUUGCAAUUGGUCUAGAGAAUCAUGCUCUACUACCUUAGAACACAAAAAAUUAAAGAAGAGGCACAACCUGAUUAUGACGGAUUUGACAUUUUAAGGCAAACAAUUCCGAAUUGCUAAUGGUAGUAGUUGUUGCAUCAAGGAAUGACAAUCAUGAGACUUAAGCUCAUGAAGACAACGAUCAUCCAUUGAAACAAGAUUUCUAAAAUUAGAACAAUAGCCAUCAGGAACUUUGACACCUUGUAAAGUUUCACAGAAUUUUUUUUUCUUUCUUACUUAAAGUGUAUGGGGUAGGGGCAGGACUUUGUUUUGUUUAUCAGGAGCUAAUGGAUGUGUAAGAUCUUUUCUAGCAUUAAUUCCAUCUUUUUUUUUCCCCGGUUGAUGGAGCAAUGUGCUCUAGAUGCUCUCACAUACAUUUUUCUCAAUGUGCAUCACAUCUAGUUGAUGGCUAACUAACAAAUGUUCCCAAUAUUCUAAAUCAAAGAAGAUUGAUCUCUUUUUGUACAACAACUGAGUUACAUCCCCAUUACCCUCACCCUCACUUUGAACCUCACUAUCACCCUCACCCUCAACUUUAACCUCACCUUUACCUUCACCCUCACUUUUACCCUUACUUUACCUUCACCUUUACCCUUGCUGUAACCCUCACCCUCACCCUCACCAUGUUUUCGCUUUUUUUGGACCUUUUUCCCAAACUUGGUGUUAAUGUCAGCAACCAAGUUUAAGAUCUCUAUACCAAACAAAGGCCUAUGAGGAUUUUCAAUAAACAGCGUAUGACCCAUAUAUGACAUUUUUCGAUUAUGUGGUAGCCAACAUGCACAUGUGUUUAUCCCACAAAUUGGAUAACCAUAAUACCCAUUAACAGUACACCCAGACAGGUUUUCAUAAGUUGGAAAGUCACUAAUCGUCUACAUCAACACAACUCGUAAAUUAAAAGUUUGUUUCCUAUAAGCAUCAAACACAUCGAUGCCUACAUCCCAUAGGGUUUUCAAGUUCUCAAUCAAUGGUGCUAGGUAUAUAUCUAUGUCAUUUCCAGGUUGUUUAGGGCUAGAUAUCAGUAAAGAUAACACCAUAAACUUCCUCUUCAUACACAGCCAUGGAAGAAGGUUAUAUGUUAUCAACGUAAUAGGUUAACAACUAUAAGUAGUGCUAAGUGUGCUAUGUGGGUUAAUCCCAUCAGAUGAUAAAGCCAACUAAAGAUUUCGCAGCUCCUGGGCAAAAUUAGGCCAUUUCUUGUCAAUUAACUGCCAAACUGGUGAAUUUGCUAGGUGGCAAAGCUUGCCAUCUUUAAUUCUUUUAUUUUCAUGCCAUGUUAAGUUCUUAGGAGUUUGUGGUGAUUGAAACAUUCUUUUGAACCUAGGAAUUAUAGCUGUACCGUACAUCCGCCUUGGCCGUACAGCAGGGCAUGUAAAACCGGAGUGAACGAACACAAAAUUUUUUACAUGGUUCGACAAAUUAUCUUAUGUGCUGUGUCCUUGCCUCUAAAAAAAAAUAAAAAUAAAACGUUGUGGUUUAAUAGGGUGUAUAUGUCGUUUUAUCUAUUAUUAAUUACUGUUUGCAAAAGAAUUUAUAUUUAAUAUUGAGCUGAUCUGUACUCAACUCUUCAUACGUACAGAAUAGAUGAUUAAAAUGUAAUUAGUUUUAUAUUCUUGUCUAACUAUUAAUUGUGUAUUACUGAAUCUAAAUCCGCGCAAAAAGCUUUAUGAGAUAGAGAUAGGGACAUAUAAAUGUACGUACAUACGGAAAACAUAGCAAACGGUGCCGUUAGAGAAGGAGCAAUUGCAGGUGACAGCAUUCUCUUCUGGAAUCUCAGCCCAUCCCUCUUCUCCACUGCAUGGAUCUACGCUGAAGUUCCAGUCCUUCUUCCCUAGCGUAUUGGCUAUAUCUUUUAAAGCUUGUACUGCAUGCAUCAAAUUGUUACAAACACGUACGGCUAAGUUUAACUGAUAGCGUUCAACAAUAUCAGCAUAAAAAAAUUAUUAAAAAAAAUUCCAACAUUUUCUUUUUCUUUAUUAAGUUUUGAUGUUCAUUUUUUCGUACAUCCGCCUUGGCCGUACAGCAGUAAGUGGUUAUUCUAUUUUGUGUAAUGAAGAACUUUUUAUUCUUAACUCUUGGGUUCAAGAAUUCCUUCUUCUUUUUAAUUUCUCCUAUAUAAAUAUACAUUUUCAAUUUUUUUGUUGAGUCGAAGAUGGCUGAAUAUGGAGUGUAGUGCCUCUAGAAACGCAUCUUCUUAGUAAAAAAAAAAAAAAACCAUUUUCUUUUUCUAUCAUUUUAAGUGUAACUUUUCUAAUUAGUUUUUAUGCAUCCUUUUCACAUUUCUGCAUGCAUAUUUUCCUUUCAUGUUUAGGAUAGGUUGUGGGGUAUAAUGUUGUUUUAAAAAAAAAAUUUGUGUGAUUUGUUUUAACAUUGGAUGACAUGAUUAAUUUCAAAUUUUAGUAUUUGUAUUAUCUUCGGUCUUAAGUGAUGUUACGCUAUGUUUGCUACUUUACAUAUUGAUGUCGGAGACAAAUAUGAGUUGCUUGAAGGAAUGAACAUGUCAUAAUAAGUACCAAGUGAGUUUUUGAGCCUAUCAUUUUUCUUGGAGAGUAACCCUUUUGCCCGUUCUUUAUAUAACUUAGCCCGUUCUUUAACCCUUAAAAAAAAAUUGUAAAAUUAAAAAAAAAAAGUGUGUUGCUACAUUUGGAGGCCCAUCUAACUAGUAGAUAUGGAAGAUUAUUUAGAGCCCUAAAAGAUGAUGGAAAUGCCAUCUUUGAUCCGUUUGAGCCUUUCUAGCCAUCCCUUUUAUGAAAUAUCCAUAGUUAACCCUUUUGAGCCUUUAAAAAAAAAAAGAAACAUUUUCUUUGUCAAACUUAUCAUCUUGACCCACUCCGAUUUGGAGUAUUACCCAAUAAACUACGCUUGAAAUGGUUUACGAGUGGAGAAUGAAUAUAGUUUACCUUACCUAUGUUAAAUCUUUCAAGAACUCUUUCAACAAGUGCUUCUUGAGAUAACCAUAACUUCCUAGAUUUUCUAUCACAAGAAAUAUUCAUGCCAAGAAUCUGUUUUGCCGGUCCUAAGUCCUUCAUUGUAAAAAACUUGCUAAACUAUUUUUUAAAUUAUCAUUUUUACUAACAUCCUGGCCAAGAAUGAACAUGUCAUCCACAUAGAGCAAAAAAAUAAUAAAAUCAUUAUAACUAAACUUCUUCACAAAAAGACAAUAAUCAGACAUAAUCUUGAUGAACUAUGAUUCUCCAUAAAAGAAUCAAACUUCUUGUACCAUUGUCUUAGUGCUUGUUUCAGCGUAUAUAACUUUUCUUUAACUUGUACACAAGUUUUUCUUUACUUUUGACAAUGAAUACUUUAGGUUGCUCCAUGUAUAUUUCCUCUUUUGAGGCUUUGUGCAAGAAAUCUAUCUUUACAUCGAGCUGUUUAAUCCCCAAAUUCAAGCUAGCUACUAAUCCCAGAAUAACUUAGAAAAUAUCUUCACCACAGGGGAGAAUAUUUCUUCAAAAUUGACACAUUUCUUCUUACCGAAACCCUUCACAACCAAUUUAGCCUUGUACUGCUGUUGUGAGUUAUUUUCAAUCUUCAAUCUCUAAACUCAUUUGUUCUUUAGUGCUUUUUUUUUAAAGAAGAUUUGUUAAGUCAUAAAUUUGGUUCUGAUUCAAGAAUUUCAUCUCUUUUUGCAUAACUUUAACUGCUGUACCGUACAUCCGCCUUGGCUGUGUUGCUACAUUUGGAGGCCCAUCUAACUAGUAGAUAUGGAAGAUUAUUUAGAGCCCUAAAAGAUGAUGGAAAUGCCAUCUUUGAUCCGUUUGAGCCUUUCUAGCCAUCCCUUUUAUUAAAUAUCCAUAGUUAACCCUUUUGAGCCUUUAAAAAAAAAAAAACAUUUUCUUUGUCAAACUUAUCAUCUUGACCCAUUCCGAUUUGGAGUAUUACCCAAUAUCUUACAAGUUCCAUCACCUAUUUAUGUUUGAGAAAAAUGUAAAUAAUAUUUUGUAAAGUGAAGUUAUGCCCAACAAAAGCAAAAAAAAAAAAAAUUGUUGUUUAAAAAAAAAAGAAAAAAAUUAACAAUAAUAGGUGAAAUCCACCUUGCAACUUCCAAAAAAAAAAGAAAAAAAAAUUCCUGUGUAUUUUUCUCAAACAUACACUUUGUUUUCCUUAUUUCCCUUCUUUGUUAGUCAUGUCCCUAGCCUACGUUACGUCCUAAUAAAAGUCCUUCUUGAUUUUAGAGAACUAUAAUCUGAAGUAGAAGCUAGUUAUAUGGGCUAAAAAGAUGUAGUGGUGCAUUAAAAAAUAAUAAAUAAAAAUAAAUAAAUUGGGUUGACUAGUAUUUUUAUUUGACUUGAGAUCGUAUUAUUUCUAAGCUGGGGGCAUAUUUCUUUCAUCUUGGUGAGAGCAUGUGAUAUCACUUCUUUAUUAUUUUCUCUCUCAAGUACCAUUCAUUGGAGUGACUAUUUUUAUUGGGUUUAAUUUCUUUAUGAGAGUGUCACUACUUUCAGUGAGAUUUUGGGGUUGACAUGUCAUUCUUGAAAGUAGCUAUGACAAUCUACUAGGCUGAUUCAUGUGGAUGAUUAAUGUGGGUGUGAUGUUGCUUUAGACUAGAGAUAAUGCUUAUACUUUUAUUUGAUUGCUAUCAUUAGUCUGAUUGAAUAAACAAGAUUGUUUAAAAACAAAAAUUGUGUUUGAAUUUUGUUUUCACUUUAUUUGCUAGGGACUAGCAAUAAGCUGGUUGGGGGGUGUGUUGAGUGUUAGAAAAUGUAUAUUUAUAAAGGAGAAAAUCGUCAUUUUACAUUUCAAGUCUUACUAACAACCCUUACUUUUAUGUAUUUAAACUUCUUGUAAUUUAAUUAUGUGUGUUUUAUUUUAAUUUAGUAUUUUAUGUAUUUUAGGGACAUCAUAGUCAUUUCACAAGAAACGAGAGAUCAAACGGCAAAACGGACAUUACUUUUGAACUCAGGACGGUCGAAAACCUUAGGAGGAGCAUAAAAGGAAAAAUGGCACUAUUCACAUGUACGGUACUAUUCACGNNNNNNNNNNNNNNNNNNNNNNNNNNNNNNNNNNNNNNNNNNNNNNNNNNNNNNNNNNNNNNNNNNNNNNNNNNNNNNNNNNNNNNNNNNNNNNNNNNNNNNNNNNNNNNNNNNNNNNNNNNNNNNNNNNNNNNNNNNNNNNNNNNNNNNNNNNNNNNNNNNNNNNNNNNNNNNNNNNNNNNNNNNNNNNNNNNNNNNNNNNNNNNNNNNNNNNNNNCAUUUUUGGGAUCCAUUUUCUGUAACUCCCUCUCCAUCUUGUACUUUCUUCGUAUUUUAAUAAAUUCUCAUUUUGCCUCUAGUUCAAUUAUGAGUGGCUAAUUUUCUUUUAAGCUUGGGUUGAAGGUGAAGUCUCAACAUGUGUCAUGGGCUUUAUUUGGUAAAUUUAUUUUCUUUUCCCCUCUAGUUUUUGUGGAUGUUUUGACUUCUCGUCGACAAAUAAUACUAAUCUUGUCUAGUAUCGCCUUAGUUUCACCGGCCCUCUAGUACAAGGUUAUUAUUAUUUGGCACAAUAAGCCCUUAGCACCAUAUUGAUUAGAGCGUGGUUCAUGAGGUGUGGAUUCCCCCCUCAUGAUUUAAUUGGCAUUAAUAAGGAUUAUUUAGCACAUGAUGCAUGUUGAUACGGAUCCAGAUACCCAAGUACGUCAUCUCAAUAUAUUUCUCUUCAAUUUAUUCUCCCCAUUUCAAUUCCAAUUUUAGGAUAAUCCAAAUCAUUUUCACAACAAAUCCAACCACCCAUUUACAAAAUUAACUCUACACACAAUUAAAAUCCACCUACUCGUGGGAUCGACACUGGUCACCAUUAGUCUAUUCUACAAUAGAUUCGUGCGCUUGCGAGUUCAAUAAAAUUUGCACAACAAUCUACAUAACUAUAAUUCAGACAUCUAAAACACUAAUUUUGUGGCUGGUCUUGGUAUUUUACAGAGGUAAGUUUCGGGUCCACCUCACCGUGCCAAUUCUAAACUAAAUAUUUUUCUAAAAAACCCUUUUUAAACAGAUGUAGCCUUAGUUGUUCUGGAGUUAAAAACUUCAUAUUACAAAAAGAGGUACAAGGACAUCUAAUUGACAUUCUAUUUUCAGACAAUCUAUCACAGAAUAUCCAAGUUUUGUCCAUAACAUGUAUUGUUACAUGUUCAUUUGUUAGAUGUUGUUAGCUUAAUAAGUUUAGUUAAAUUAAAAAUAUAAAUUGCAAAAUAAAUCUAAGUUCUAUUUAUUUAGAGUCACUUAAAUACAUGUAUGCAUUCAACAACCCAACAUAGCAUAUAUGUAAGCAUUCAGUAACCCAACAGAGCAUACAUGUACACAUUCAACAAGCCAACAGAGCAUACAUGUACACAUUCACCAAGCCAGCAAAAUAUACAUGUACACAUUCAGCAAGCCAACAAAACAUGCCACAUCCACAUUUUUCAAAAUUUUAUUUUCAUAUUAGAACAAACAAAAGUAUAUAUUAGAAUAAACAAUUUAAUUCCAGAAGAGUCUAUGCAACAAAAACGAAACUAAAACCAUGCAUGUCAAUAUUUAAAACAUGUCAGUACAAGUAAAACUCAUAACACUGAUAAUAGAAACUGAAAGAAAGUGAGUGAUUUAAAAAAAUUACCAAAUGAAGACAACUGUUACACCGUAAACUUUUUUAAUUCUUCAGAAGCGAGAGAUUAAAUUGAACAUAUUAAUUCAACUUAUUAGAGCUACUCAAUUGAAAUAAACAUGCAAGAUAUAAGAAAAAGUAAUAACAAACUAAACAUUUUAGUCUAAAGUCAAUAAUUCAAUAUUAAAAUGCAAACAAAAGUUUCCUAUACAAACAAAUAAAGGUCCCUUUCAAAAGUUUAUUAAUUUAAAGAUCCUAUAAAAAAAUAAAAAACAAACAAGCUGCAUGUGGUUGUGACACUAAAAUGGUCAAGGCUAUUGUACCCAUCAACAUAUGAAUGAAGAUUUAAUUAUAUUGUUAAUUACUACGUCAGAAAGUUGUACAAGGGAAAUCACAUAAAAAAAAAAUUAAGGACAAUGCUUGUUGUUGUUGAAGUGUUUGCAUGUGAGAUAUUGCAUUUAUACUAAGUCUAGCAAGUGCAUUAUAGGGAAAAGAUUGAUGAAUUGACCCAAAUUGAAUAUGUAUCUUUAUCAAUGGCUAAUUAAAUGGAACAAGUUAGGCCCAAAAUUGAAACUAUCAUGCAAAAUUUUAAAUGCAAUUUCAAUAAAUGGGGAAAAGGGGAAAAACUCAAAUCUGCAUUGACAUUGUAUCCAUCAAUUCCAGUUAAAGUGUACAUGAAAUUCAAGUCGAGUGACAUGGCAACUAAAGAAAGAGAGGAAAGAAAACUAAUUUGAAUCAGGCACUUAUAAAACCACUCUUAGUUAAAAACUCUGGUACAAUAACUCAACUUCAAUUGCCUUUACCUCUCUGCUAUAUUUUCCCUAGUCCCAAAUUAUAAACAAUCAAGAUUACAGAAAAAAACUAAGAAUUUUAAAACCCAUUCUAUAGUUUAACCGCAACAAAACAACAUGCAUGAGGAAAAUAGUUACUAUAAAUUGGAAACAUAUUAAUUAAAAAUAAAUAGAAAUAAAUAAAUGGCACCUUCAGAAAUGAAUUUAUUGUAGUGGAGAGAGAGAGAGAGAACCGAAUCAUGAUAGAAAGGAAUUCCUGUGCUUCGGGCUUAGUUGGGAUUGACGUGAAGUUUGAUUAGAAUGUGCAGUGUCAACAGUGGGGAAUAGGAUUUUAGGGUUUUGUUUACUUAGCUUUGACAAAGAAGGAGAACCGAGAGGUGAAGAAUGAUGAGUGAAUGACUUAGAAAAAAGUUAGGUUCGAUUUUGGUCUUAGGGUUAGGACAAAACGAUGCGUUUUACUUAUUUUUAUUUUUUUCUAGGUGAAACGAUAACGUUUCUAAUUGAAUAUAUAUUAUUUACUUGUAAAAUUUCAGCCAAAACCCGCUAAAAUUUUCACUCAGGCGUGCUCAAUACAUUUCAAGUUCUUCAUAUCGCAAAACUAAUAUUCUACUGAUUCAGUAGCAUAACUAACAAAAAGUCACAUCAGUUUUAAUUUUAAACUUAAAAGCUUUGGCUUUGAAGGGUCUUGGGUUCGAAUGUCAGUUCGAAAUGAGAUUCAAAUUUUAUUUUCUUUUAUUGAUACCUUAGUGUCACCAAGAAAAAGCACAAUGGUCUUUCUCUUAAACUUAAAUGCUCCGAUGUUCGAGGUCCCCAUUUGAAUUCCAUCCGUUACGUGAUUAGAAUUAUUUUAUUUUUAUUACUAAUACUUUAGUGUCAGAGAUUUCUAAUGUCUAAAUUUCAGACACCAUAGUAUCAUUAAUUUGUGAUACUUAUGUGUUAAACACGGAAAAUAGCCCAUAUGUAUAAAAAUACUGAUACUUUUUAAUAAAAUGUCACAAACCAAGUGUCAGUAAAGACCAUUUUUGUAGUAGUGUUGUACAACUUCAUUUAGAAGGGAUAAUUUUAAAUUACUCUCGUAAAAUGAUAAUGUUUAGAAUGUGUUUAAAUUAUUGUAAAUAUUAAUUUAUAUUUUAUUUUUUUAAGAAGACAAAUAAAUUUUCAUCGACCCAUUCAUAUUUUUUCUUUAUCUUUUGAACAAAAAUGAGAAAAGUUUAAAGUUUACAAUAAUUUUAACAGUAUUAUGAUCAUUCCAUGUAGAGGGUAAUGUGAAAUUUACCCUUUCUAGAAUUAUUUUGAGUGAAAAGUUGUGUUAGUGUUUGUGUCAUGCACCACUUGGAAAGAAAAAAAGAAGAAGAAGAAGCCAGCAUGGGUCAUUAAUUUUGCACCACCAAGCUGCAUGCUUCAUCAUUUCAGCUGCUUGCUUCAGCCAUUUAUUUCAUUAUUUUAGUCAUCGGCUUGCUUCAUCAAUUUACUUGUCAUCUUGCUUAACUCGGUGGCUAUAUAAAGCACAAAUGUUGAGAGUGCUUUAUUUGAUACAUCUAAAGAAUUAAGAGCAAAAGUUAGAGACAGUGGCGAAGCUAGCAUCAUUUGUUUGGGUGGGCUAGAUUUAAAAAAAAAUGAAAUUUAUUUCUCAAAAAAUUUGUUUUAUUUAAAUGAAAUUAAGCACACUGCAUAAGCAAAAAUUUAACUAUAAAACUAUAAAAAAUACAAUGUAAAUAAGAAAAACACUAUUGACGAAGCUGUGUCCUGCGGUUCUUCAAAAAAGAAAAUUCAUCUACUAUCGCAUCUGAGUCAAUAUUGUCUGCAAUUUCUCUUUCGAUGUAAAUAACCAUACAAUCUAAAAAAAAACUCAUUCUCCAUCUUGUUUCGAUGUGUUGUCUUAAUCAGUUUCAUGGCAGAAAAUGCUCUCUCUGUUGUUGCUGUUGAAACAUGAAGGGUUAACACUAAACGAAUUAAUCUAUUCAACAAUAAAUAAAUCUGUGACUUUCUAGUCUCAACCAAUCUUUGACACAAUUUAGCAAGGGAAGUAAUAUUCUGAAACUCUUGAAGAGAGUGUAUAUCUAUCUCAAAGCACUCUAAUUGUCUUCUCAAAGCCUGUAACUCAAUCUUAGUGAAAUCUUCAGGAUAAAAUCUUUCAGCAAGGCUGCAAAUAUCUUCAAUUUUAAAUGAUUUAAAUGCAUCAAUAGGAUUUAAAGAUGAACUAAGAGUGAGGAGUUCCAAAGUCUGUUAAGUGAAUCUAUUAUUCAACUCCAUCAAUUGAAAAUCUAUCACAACAUUAAAUAUAUUAUAAUGAUAAUAAUGCUCAACUGUAAUAUAAUCAUUCUGUUGACAAGAACGUCCUCUGCCUUUCAUAUGGCGAGCUUUCAUACCAGGCAUAUCUAUCUCAUUCUUUUCACAAAAUAUAACUACGUUCUCAAUAAAAGUUUCCCAACCAUUGUCUCGCAGCCUUUGAAGAAGUUUUUUCAUAGUUGAGACUAAGUGCACAGUAUUUAGAAUAUCAUGAGAUUUAACUUGUAAUGCUUGACAAAGUAAAUCACUCACCCCCAAAACUUGAUUUAAUAAAUGCAAAAUGAACACACUUUAGCCUCUCCACGUAUGAUAUUGUUAGGCCCACACUCUACCAACUUCCUAAGAACUUUACGAACAACACUAAACAAAUCAAGCAACCUACUGACAGAACGGAAAUGAGAGCUCCACCGAGUAGCUCCAGGCCGUUGCAAAGUAUGAAUUUGAUUGGCCCCUGUACCAGUUUGAACUUCUCCUGAAGCUAUCAAAUCUAUUAUUUCUGCUUCGCAAACAUAUUUUAACUCAGAAAGCCGUUUAGCAGAUGAAGUCAGAACAUUUACAAUUGAACCCAAUACUAAAAGAAAAGCCAUACAUCUGGCACAUCAUUAGAUGCUGCAACUAAAGCAAGUUGUAGUUGAUGUGCAAAACAGUGUAUAUAAUACGCAUAUGGGCAAUCUUUAAAAAAUAAUGCUUGUAAUCCAUUCCAUGCACCCCUCAUGUUACUAGCACCAUCAUACCCUUGCCCUCGGAUAUUUUCAACUAAAAGAUCAUAUCGUGCAAGAACAUUACAUAUUUCUUUUUUCAAUGUUACUGCUGUAGUUUCCAUGACAUUGACAACUUCAAAAAAACGUUCUCGAAUAUACCCAUCACAAUCAACAUACCUUAAAACAAUAGCCAUUUGCUCUUUAUUAGAUUCAUCAAGUGCUUUGUCUACUAAAAUACAAAACUUCCCAUCUCCAAGUUCCUUGCAUAUCUUGUUUCGCACUUUGUUUGCAAGAAUAUUUAAAAGCUCUUUUUGAAUGUCAGACGAUGUAUACUUAGCAUAUGAUGGAGCAUUUUCCAAGACAACUUGAGCAAUUUCUUUACUACACUCUGCUGAAUGCUUUAUCAACUCUAUGAAAUUUCCCCGAUUUCUUGAAUUAACUGAUUCAUCAUGACCUCUAAAAGCACAUGCUUGCUUUGCUAACCAUUUAACAACAAUAAUUGAGGUAUUCAAUCGUAGCCUAUUCUCAAAAAGUUGUUGUGAAGUUUGGGCAUUAAUUAAUCUAUCAAUGUGUUGAAUUAGAUUCCUCAAACAACCCCAACUCUGCAUAUUCUUAUUAUGAUGAGAAGAUGGACCCCCUUCAUGCUGUAAAAAUGGACAUUUGUUUCCAUUGUUGACUCUCUUCCAACUAGAAAACCCUUCAAUAACAAAUUUUGGGUUGUUUGAUGGAAUUUCAUCAAAAAGAAAGCAUGGAAAACAAAAUGCACUAUCUUUUACCUCAGAGUACUCAAGCCAUGGAAAUUUUUUAAACCAGUGAUAUUGAAACCUACGUUCUUGCAUGCCAUCAUUAGUUAGUGGAUAAUCUCAUAGUUUAGGUUGAUAAGGUCCCAUUUUGAUGUACUCCCUUAGAAUAUCAUCACGUUGAUUUACUGAAUAUGUCCCUAUUUGAUGACAUAAUCCAGGAUCACGCUCCAGAUAAGUAUUUCUAGUUUCUUCAACUUCAACCCUUUGAAACUUGGAAGUAUGUUGCUCACUGAAAUCUUGAGCAUUAACUUGACAUGGAGAUAAAGACUUGGUGGAUGAUUGAUUUUCACCUACUCUCUUAAAAAAAGAAAGUAGAGUUUUUAUUGGUUUAUUUAACAUUGAAUCUGUAAUAAAAUACAUUAAAAAUUUAGUAUUUAUUUUAUAAAAAUUUGACAAAAUCGCAAGUUAAAUGCUAAUUAAAAAAAGUCAGCAUUUAAAUUAAUUGUUUUACUAUUUUAUUCACUCAUUCUUUCAUGCCAUCAUUAUUUUAUAAUUUCAAGAAGAUGAAUCAACACCUUUAUAAUUCUUUCAAGUUAAAAGCUCUUUAUAUGCUAUCAUCACCGUUUGUCACAUUCUAUUAUUUUAUAAUUUUAAAAAGAUGAAUCACAGUUCACAAAAUCAACAACUUCCAGUCUUCCACAAUUCCACUUCGUGUGCCAACAGGGCCGCAUCAAGAGACUGGGCAUUCGGCGUCGGCUCGGUAGUGAGAGAUUCAGCCUGCGGGUGCGGGCCUUGUGGCAGUGGCUCGGCGUCACUCAUGAGGCAGCGGCUGGGCGUCAAUUCGAGCGCAGGAGACUGGGUAUUCAGCAGCGGUAAGAGACUUGAGCAAUUGAAUUUUGGUGAAUUUCAAAUUUGGAUUUAGUUAGAUACUGGUGAGUUUUAUGAAUUGUGAUUUGGGGAAAAUAAAGAUUCCUAUAAUUAUUAGGUUUGUUUUUAUUUUUUUAUAAAUAUUAAUAAAAGUAAAUUUAUAAAUUAUAAAUAAUUUUUUUUUCAAAAAGCUUACCCGGGCUGCAGCACGGGUUAGCCUUCCUUGAGCUUCGCCUCUAAUUAGAGAGAAGGGAAGAAAGAAAUCGAGAAGAAAAAGAAAAAAAAAUUGAGAGAAAAAGAGAAGAGAAAAGAAAAGAACUAAUCUCCACUCAAUUAGAUGUUUCAUGGACAUAACAUUAUAGGACCAUGAUGAAGGGCCAUGUGCAACUCAACACCUAAUUCCACUUAAAUGAAUUAUUUGUGCGGAACAAGUCACUAUAAGAAAACAGGCAAUAGAUGGUGGAAAAUAACUCUCAUAAAAGAGGGUGCAUGAUAGACAGUUUAUCUGUCAUAUAUGUCAUUAAUUUAAUUUAUAACAGAAUAUUUGUCGUCAUGAAUUAACGAUGGUAUUCUACAGUCAUAUAUCCGUCACACGAUAUUUUAAUGUGAAAAAAUAAUUAAAUUUAAAUUUGAAUUUAUUUAGAUUUUCGUGCCAAAUUUUUAAAAUUUGGCGGGAAAUUUUAUUGUCAUUGAUAAAUUUAUUAUUCAGUUUUGGCGGAAAAUUAUAUAAUCAUUUGUAAAUUUAUUAUUCCUUUUUUUGCGGGAAAUUAUAUAAUCAUUUGUAAAUUUAUUAAAAGGGGUUCUAAAAUACGAUUGACUUUAAGAUACGAAUACUUGGAGUCUAAGAUAUUAAUAGUUGGUUUACUUUCUGUAAAAAAGACAUGUAUAUGGGAUAUUAGAUAUUGCUAGUUAUAUAUGAACUAAAGAUAUAUCUAAUCCACCCUACUCUUGUGAUUAUUGUGAAUUUCGAUAGGGAUUCUAAUAGAAAUUUAGAAAUUGUUCGAUUUCGUCUUUGCUGCUGUACCGGACUUUAUGAUGUGUAUUUCCCGUCAUAAAGUUAAAUUUUAUAAAAAAAACUUACAAUUAUAAUUUAUUUUUUAAUUCAUGUUUACAAAUUUAAUUAAUUAGUAAAAAUGAGUAUCAUGAAAAAAAUAAAAACAAUUAAUAUUAAUUAACAUUCAUUCAUUACAACAAGUUAAUUUCAAAAUAAAUACAUCUAGUAUCUAAAAUUGUCAUCACAACCAAUACAUAUAUAAUCAACAUCCCAAAUUUAAAAAAAAAUCAUCUAAUUAAACUACAAGAAAAGCAACUCAAAUUCCAGCCACCAAGCCAACAAAACCUCCAGCAGCAAUACAUCUUCUAACGGCAAUAGUCCAAUACCCACUUACCCAACAACACUCCAACACACAUUCAUCAGCAACCUAGCAUCUUUCUACACCACUGGUAUUCCAACCACAUAUCCAGUAACCUAGCAAACCAAUCUAUUAAGAACCAAUCAAAAUACCCAAUGUUAUCGAAUGCAAAACAUGUAGACUACAAUCGUUAACAGCAACCAUUAUAAUUUGACACUAUAACUUUAAUUUCAAUAAUUUUUUACAAUUAAUAUUUAUAGUUUCAUACUCAUACUAACCAUUUUGCUGAUGCAACAAGGAUGUCAGAAAAAUGGUUAGCCCACUCCAAACGAACCUCAUCUAAUUCGUCCUGAGUGCAUACUUUCUUUCCAUUAAACUGUCAAUCACAAGAUUAUUAAGAGGUCAAACUUCAAAAAUAAUGUCACGUAUAUAGAAUAAAAGAAAGUUAAGAAAUGUCAUCAUCAACUUACAUUGUUCAUUAACAAACUAACAUCUGCUAUUAUUUCCUUCAUGUACCUUAACACAUAAUAGCCACACUCCAAUUUUGCAAUAUUUUGUUUCGGAGCCUGUUCAUGCCCAAAAAAAAAAAAAAAAACUUACAAAAUCUCAUCUAUUUUAGUUAUGUAAUCGACAGGCACAUAUAGUUUCUGUAGGGUUACUUUUUUUUACCUUCACGAUUCUCAUCUUAGAAUUAUAAUUCUAUUUUUCCUUACUAUCCUCUACUGUGAAGAGUGUCAUGGUGCUGUAAAAAAAAAAAAAGUAAACUGUUAUCUCUUAAUUAUAUUGAAAAAAUUUAAAAUAUCAAUUGCAUGAAAUGGAUUGGCAUACAUAUAUUUUAAGAAGCUGUUCUAAAUCAGUAUCAGGACUGGACUGCACAAGAUCCACAUAAAACACUUCCUUUUUCACCACGCCAAACACAACUAAAACCCAAUGGUAGCUAAUAAGAGAAGGCAGUUGGAAAAAAAGCAGAAAACAAAACCAUGAAUUAACAAACAAUUGUAAAAGUAAUAUAAAUUUAGAAACAACUGUAAAAGUUUUAAAUGAAAAUUAAAACUUACGAAUGAUUGUAUGGCAUGAGAAUGAGUUGUUUGUUUUUUGCUUUUUUCAAGUGGUCGUGAAUAUGCUCAACUCUCUUUUAGCGAAAUUUUUCUGGAGCCUUUGGAUUUGUUGGGCAAACCAAACUUGAACACAUGAAUCCAAUUGGUUUUAUUCAUUUUCUAGUUGGUAGAAUGGUGGAAUCCAACAUCCUGAAUAGAAAAUCAGUGCUUCAAUAAAAAAAUAUACAGAGUUGAUAUAAAAUAGUGUAAAGAAAAUUCAUUAAACUACUUAAGUCAUAUAUACUUGAAUAGUAUUUACUCCUAAUGAUUGCAUUGACAAUAGUUCAUUGCAAUCUUUCUUCUCAAUAUAAGCACAAGCAUGUCUUUGGAAUACAUUAUCAUCAAUCAUAUAUGUCAGAACACCAUCAUUUUCAUCAGGCAGGUAUUUCUCACACAAUUUCCCAAAUAGUUGCAGCAUAGGAUGACUGUUCUGGUGCUUGAAUACUGCACUCCUUGUGUUCCUCAUAGGCUGCACUACAACUUUUUUGGCUUUAUCCUUUUUCAAAAGUGGCUUUUUUGUUGGGCUGUCAGAAUGCAUCUCCUGUAUACCUUCAGCUAUGCCAUCAACACAGUCAAAAUCUAAUUGCUUUUUAUUGCUUCCAACUAUUUUCCUCUCAUCAUUUGCAUAAUCCUUUGAAAUUGAAGGAUUGAGUCUUGGACUUUUCCUCAAAAUGGCAGCAGUAGUGUUUUUUGGUGGCUUGCCCAAAUUAUCUAGCUCCUGUGGAUGUUGAUGAUAUCAAAUUGUAAGUAAAUAUAAGUUUUAUUCACUCCUAAGAAUAAUUCAAGCAUUAACACCAACAAAGUUUUUUAAAAAUGGGCCACACAUAUUUCAUUAGGUGAUUUGUAAUUCCAUUUUUAAAAUUAAUUCUAACAAGACGCGCGCACACACACACACACACACAUAUAGUAUGCAGCAAUAUAUAUAAAUAUGUUGUGGCUGUAAAGCCAGCUUGUGCAACUCGGCCCCUGUUUUAAACAUUGUACUUGAGUACUUGACUUAUAUAGUUAUAUUAAUUAAAACAAUUAGCCAACAAAAAAAAGAAAUCCCACAUACAAAGACAAAAACAACUUAAAUAUAGUUAAUUUUAUUAACUAACCUUAUGUGCAUCUCCUUCACUCCCUUCAUUUUUUGUUGACUGCACCGGAAAGGCAACAGCGGCAUUUGCUGGUGGCUUGCCCAAAUUAUCUACCUCCUAUGAAGAUUAAUUAUAUGAAAUAGUAAGUAUAUUAAACUAGAUUGAAUAGUAAAUAUACAAGGCAAUAAAUCAUAAUCUAGGAAAAAUACAGCCAUUUAUUAUGAAUAAACUAACCUUAUGUGCAUCUCUUUCGCUAUUAUUUUCACUGUCAUAAUUUUUGGCUGACUUUAUUGGAAUGGUAGCAGUUGUGUUUUUUGGUAUCUCUUCUUUCUUCCGAACUUCUUCCUUCUUUCUUAGUGUUGAUACUUUAGGAUGUUUGUCCCUUUGACCAAAAUCCAUUUCCUCUUCUUCACAGCUGACUUCCCUAAAUUAUCCAGCUUCUAUCAGCAUUAUCGACAAAUAGUAAAUAAAUUAAACUCUAAUGAGUGGAAGAUAUACAAGGAAAAAUACUUAAACUAGGAAAAAUUUGGUUAACACAGAUAACUAAAGCACCUUAUGUACAUCUCAUUCACUGUCAUCAUCGACCAUAUUAUGUGGGAAAGUAGAACUUCCAACAUCUAACACAGAUAACUAAACCAUAUUACUGGUUUUUUCCAAGCAUCCAACUCCCUCUCUCACUCAUUUUGGAUGGGUCCACACAGGCAGUAAAAGUACAUAGAAGUAUAAAUAAAUUUGCCCACGCCUUGCAUAUGACUAGUUCGAGGAAGCUUUCCCAAUGCUUGUGCAAGUAAGUCAUUUCUUGCAUCUGAAUUGAAGGAGUCUUUUUUGUCCUCCUUCUCUAGCAUUUCUUAAUAGCCCACCAUAAAGAAACUAAUAUUAUUAAAUGGGUAUAGAUCUAAUAUCAUAACAAUGUUUGUUCUAGUUAAACUUGAUUACUAUUUUCUUAAUAACAUGUUCGGUUUCAAUGUCGUUUCCUCCAUUCUUUAGCAUCCGAGCUCACUUCCAUAAAUCACUCCUUUCAAUUAAGUCUUCAGAAAGACCUAAUUCUGCACACUACUUCGAUAAACAAAUUAGAUUAGUCAACUGUUAAAAAAUUUAAUAGUGAACUAAACCUUUAAUAAAUAUUAAUUAAUUAUCCACCAACCACCUGUUUUUUCUACAUUUUUCAAAAAUAUACAAAUCUUUUUUUUUGCAGCGCUCCAUCUGAAGUUAACAUUUUUUUCAUUAGUCCACUCCCUAUAACACUGUUAGAACUUUGCUAACAUCAUAAAGGUAAAAUUGUCAUUUCAUAACGACACAAAAGUGGACAGGUGCAAAACAAUAUAACUUCAAGUGGAGUUCAGCAAAAAAAAAAAAAAAAAAAGAAUUGUGUAUUUUUGAAAAAAUGUGAAAAAAAUGUGGUCGGUGGAUAAUUUACCUUUUACAUGUAAGGGUAAAAACAUCAUUUAUACAAUAUUCCAUUUGUUCUCUUAACAAUUUGAAGACGAAAGUGGAUAGGUGCAAAAUAAUGUAACUUCAGGUGGAAUUCAGUCCAAAAAAAAGAAUUGUUUAUUUUUGAAAAAGCCUGAAAAAACAUGUGGUCGGUGGAUAAUUUCCCAUAAAUAUUUAACAAAGCAAAAAAUUUACAUAGUUAACUAAUAUAUAAAUUAUUUCAUUAGCAAUUAAAUAUUUAACACACUUAAAAUUUCUUUUAUUAAUCAAAUAUAUCUUUUUCGACUAAGGCGGUGAUUGCACUUGUUCAAGGCUCUCCUGUUCUUAUUGACACGACUGAUUUUUUGCAUAAUUAGAUUUGUUAUAACACAAGGUAAAUAUAAUGUAACUGCUAACAUAUUACUUGUCCUAACUUGAAAAUACUUUAAAAGAUUCCGACAAACGUUGGUCGACAAACUUUAUCCAAAUAGGACGUUUUAUUUGAUGGUACUCAAUUCGGGGUGAAUACAAUUUCUUUUUAUCAUUUCUAAACUUCCAGAUAUAAAUUUUGGCCAGCAUAUACUUGAAGUCCGAAAUGUUGUUCUAAUUGAUUGUAUCACCUGCUUCCUACUUCUAGGAUGAACAAUGAAAUGACCCUAGAUAAGAGGAAGAUUGUUUAUGUGAUAGUUAAUAAAAAUCCAAAUCAUAUAACUAAUAAUUGAAAAAUGACAGCAAAAUGUUUAAAUAGAAUGAGAUGGAUUUUUAAGAUUACCAGAACAAAUUUCCACAAACGCUCCUUUGUCUCCAGCGGAACCUUAUGCCAGUCGGAAUAAAGAAUUGAAACUGAUGUACGAGCUAAUACCCUAAUAAAAGAAGCCAACUCAGUGGCUUUAUCGCCUGCUAGAACGCCCAUUUCAUUGUAUUGUACCACAAUCUUUUCCUUCUUCGUUUUAAGUUUUUAUUUUGCCUAGAUCCCAUAUUUACACCUCUCCUAGAGUUACUGCUUUCAGGAAUAUCAACAUCAGGACGAACGAAAUUAACACCAUCCAUUUCAGCACAAUCAAAAUCACCUCUAUCUAAAUCAGCACCAUCAUUAUCACCUCCAUCAAACUCAACACCAUCCAUCUCAGCACCAUCAAUAUCAUCCUCGUCUUCUGGAUAUGCUAAAUUAGCAUUAUCGGCAAAUAAGUCGCGGUAAUCGUCUUCCAAAUAAGCUUCCUAAUUAGAAGCAACAUCAACCACUACAUGUUUUCCCUUAGCCAUAUUAGUGCACCUGAAAUAAAUUACUGUACUUGAAAUAAGUAAAUUAAAUUGUAUUAGUUAAAUGAAAAUAUGAAACUAUAUAACAAUCAAUCAGCUGCAAGAAUAAAAAGCUAAUAUAUAAUUCAUUAUCAUAUUAGUUUGUAACAUAGAUAGUGAAUAGUUAAAUAAACACUUACUGCAAAAAAGUUAAUCAAUUGGCAACCCAAAUUCCCUCUUUGCUAUUUCGUGCAUAGAUUGCUUAAUCGCCAUUUGCGGAACAUAAUAAAUCAUUAGUUGGAAAUUCCUUGGUGAAGGGAGGAUAUUCUGUUACAUUAUUGACCUUGUCUUCAUUUAUUUGAUUAAGAUUACUUAUAAUAGGCAUAUGACAUACAAUAGACCACUUUGUUUGAAUUUGAUCAUUUACAUAAAAUACUUGUUUGGCUUGAGAAGCCAAUAUAAAUGGAUUAGAUUUAUAUCCUAAUCGGUUUAAGUCUACUAAGAUGAAUCCAAGCUCAUCAUUUUUAACACAACUACUUUGAACCCAAUCACACUUCAACAUAGGGACUUUCAACGAAUGAUAGUCAAUCAUCCAAAUUUUAUCUAUAACUCCAUAAUAUGUCAUAUCACAUAUUUCAGAAUCAUCUACACUACCUCCAUUAUUUUGAGUUACUCGAUUUGAGUCUUGAUCUCGUGAAACAAAAUAGAAACCAUUAAUGUCAUAACCAUUAUGUUUAGUUACAAAAGGAAGAGGCCCAUGUGAUAACCAUCGCAAAGUAUCUGAUACGUGAUCACCCUUUUCAAUCAAGUCAUAUACCUAACAAGAUAAGAAAGAAAAGUAAACAUCUUUACUAAGUGAAAAAAAGUUUAGAUUUCUUUGUGAAAAUUAAUUAUAUACAUGCUAGAACCUUAUCAAUUAGUCAAUCGGUAAAUGUAUGGUUGUGUUCUUCUUGUAACCAUUUGUCAUUUUGAUGUGAAUAACAUGUUUUAAGCCACUGCAUAUGGUUACUAAACAUCCAGAACAUGAAAAAAUUAGACUGAAAAUUAUAGAAAUAAAUUAUAUAGAUUUGACUAGAAGAAAUUAACCAAAUUACCUAAUGUAUAGUAACACCUCUUGCGUGUUAUGCAAGAUGUACAGGUGCGCUUGAUUUAGUGAAUGUGGAGGAAUUUGUAGCACUUUCCCACCAGACAAUGACUUAUCUUUUGAUAGUUUUUGCACAUGUCCAAGUCGAACCCCAACUAUAUUCAUGUUUGACAUGUAUUCUACACAAAAUUCUAAUGCUUCUUCCGCAAUAUAACUCUCUGCUAUUCAACCCUCAGGACAGUUGUGGUUCCGAACAUAACUCUUAAGAGUUUUCAUGUAUCUCUUGAAAGGAUACAUACAUUGAAGGUAAACUGGGCCACAUAGUCUAACUUCAUUGACUAAAUGCACAGUCAAGUGUACCAUAAUGUCAAAGAAAUAGGGAGGAAAAUAUUUUUUUAACAAGCACAAAGUAACUACAUGCUCUGCCUGUAAUUUAUCCAAUGUUGACACAUCAACCACAUUGGAACACAAGAAGUUAAAAAAGAAACAUAGCCUGAUCACAACUUCUUUAACAUGCUUUGGCAAGACACACUGAAUGACAAUAGGCAAAAGUUAAUGUAUAAGAACAUGGCAGUCAUGUGACUUAAGGCCCUGAAGUUUAAGGUCCUUCAUUGACACAAGAUUUUUUAUGUUUGAGGAAUAUCUAGCUGGAACCCUAUACAUUUUAAAGCUUUGCAGAACCUUAUUCUUUCAUUUCUAGUUAAUGUAUAACAAGCUGCAGGAAGGAAUGUUUGUUUGUUCUUUCUUAAAGUUGGUGCUAAUUCAUCUCUAAUUCCCAUUUCCACAAGAUCAUUCCUUGACUUAAGACCAUCUUUGGUCUUUCCUGGAAUAUGCAGCAAUGUUCCAUAGAUGUUCUCAUACACAUUCUUUUCAAUGUGCAUAACAUCUAAUUAAUGACGUAUAAGUAAAUGCUUCCAAUACUCUAAAUUAUAAAAUAUUGAUUUUCUUCCACCAAAUGCGGUCAUUAUUGUCAAAAAUUUUGUGUUUUUUAGAGUUGUUCUUCCCCCAUUUAUAAUCAAUAGACUCAACCAGCCGCAAAACACUUCCCCAUCCAACGGUUUCAGAGCAAACUCUCUCUCUAUUGUGUUAUCAAAGGCUUUUCUUGGUCCUGAAAUUCAUGACCAUGAGGAAGCCAAUGACGGUGAUUGAUAUAUGUAUUUUUGCCACUGUGUUUAAGUCUAUAUUUAGUAGUGUCUACUCCACAAUAUGGGCAAGCAUUAUAUCCUUUAACAAUGCAACCAACUAGAUUUCCGUAUGCCAGAAAGUCAUUUAUAGUCCAUAAUAACACAACCUGCAAAUUAAAGAACUCUUUUCUGUAGGCAUCAUAAGCCUCCACCCUAACUUCUCACAAAGUUUGUAAAUCUUCUAUCAAAGGUGCCAAGUACACAUUGAUGUUGUUGCCCAGUUGUUGAGGACCAGAAAUCAGUAGGACAACAUCAUGAAUUUCCGUUUCAAACACAACCAUAGAGGAAGAUUAUACGUUAUAAGAAUAAUUGGCCAACUAUACAUACUACUAAGAGAGCUAUGUGGAUUUAUUGUAUCAGUUGCUAACACAAGACGGAGAUUUCUACGAUCUACGACAAAUGUAGGCCAUUUGUUAUCUACUAAUUUCUAUGAUGGCGAGUCUGCUGGAUGUCAAAGCUUACUAUCAUCGACUCUCUCAUUUGCAUGCCAAGUCAAGUCCUUGGCCAUUUUUUAGGACUAAAACAUGCGUUUAAAUCUAUGUAUGGGCGGACAAUACCCUAAAACCUUGGCAAGAACCCAUUUCCUAUAUUGGUCAACACUGCCAUCUUUUUUUUUCCAUCUAGAUAAACCACAACUAGGACAGUCAGAAGCCCUUUAUACUAUUUUCUGUAAAGUAUGCAAUCAUUUGGGCAAGCAUGUAUUUUCACAUAUUUUAAGCUUAAAGCGGACAUUGGCUUUCUGGCCUCAUACAUAGACACAAGAAUUUCAUUACUUUCAGGCAACAUCUUGGCUAGAAGGCCUAAUAACUCGGUAAAACUUGUGUCGAACCACCCAAAUUUACCCUUUAUAUUGAACAAGCUAACCAAAGUGCCUAACUUAGUAAAAUUUGUGCAUCCUGGGUACAAAGGCUUCUCAGCCUGUUCUAGAAGUUCUUUAAAUGCUUUAGGAUCUGCAACAUAAUCCCUAUAAGCAUCGUUAACCAUAUCUACUGUGUUACUGUCAUUGUAAUCUAUAAACUCAAAUGGAACAUUUACAUCUACAUUAGGAAGUGGUGUGUCCUUGACAUCUUCCCCAUGCCAACUCCAGGUUGUGUAAGAAACAUCAAAACCAUGAAAAUACAAAUGUUCACGAACAACCUUAUGUGUAUGAAAGGAUAAAUUCAUACAUUUAGUACAUGAACAUUUAAUGACGCUACUGCCUUCGGAAUUACCAAUAGCAAACUUCAUAAAUUCUUCAAUCACAUCUUCAUACUCACUUGACAAUUUAGUACAAUGAACCCAAGACUUAUCCAUCUUUAGUUUCAAUUAGUUUUGAUCCUGACACAUUAAGGAGGUUACAAAUAAAUAAAACAUCAAAAUACAUUACUAAUUUAUAUAAGCAAAGUACAAAUUAACACCACUUUAAAUACCUUUACUACAACAUAAACAUAACAACAAAUUUUACCCCCACACAUUAUAAUAGUCACAACACAAAAUACAAGUACUUAAACACAUUACAGUAGUCAAAAUCAUUACAAUAGUAAAUAAACACAACCUUAAAAUCAAGCCCAAUACAACUUCAAGUCAUGCUAUCAUAUAAAGGACCAUAAUAUUAAAAAUAUUUCAUACAACUAUAAAUUAACUAACGAAUUCAAAACUCUAAAAUAAAGAAGUGUAAUUUAUUUACUAGGUUAAAUUAAUUCCUCUACAGCAAACUAUUCCAACAAAAGAGAUGCAACAAACUGUGCAACAAGAGAGGUGGCAACAAGCUAUUCCAAGAAAAACAAAGGAUCAACUAUUACAUAAGGGAAGAUACUCUUUUUCAACAAAUUAAAAUACAAUUUUGCAUCAGAAGCUAAAUUAGGUUCUAGGUAUAAAUUUGUUGCAAAACUAGUACUACAACUUUAUCAUUUCUUAAUAACCGCAGAUUUCAAUAAAAAAUUAACCCUAGAUAUGCAAAAGUACAAAUUAACACCACUUUAAAUACCCUUACUGCAACAUAAACAUAACAAAAACUUUCAACCCCACACAUUAUAGCAGUCACAACACAUAAUGUAAGUAAAUAGACACAUUACAAUAGCCACAACAUAACAUAAAAAUCAAGCCCCAUACAACUUCAAGUCAUGCUAUCAUAUAAAGGACCAUAAUAUUAAAAAUAUUUCAUACAACUAUAAAUUAACUAACGAAUUCAAAACUCUAAAAUAAAGAAGUGUAAUUUAUUUACUAGGUUAAAUUAAUUCCUCUACAGCAAACUAUUCCAACAAAAGAGAUGCAACAAACUGUGCAACAAGAGAGGUGGCAACAAGCUAUUCCAAGAAAAACAAAGGAUCAACUAUUACAUAAGGGAAGAUACUCUUUUUCAACAAAUUAAAAUACAAUUUUGCAUCAGAAGCUAAAUUAGGUUCUAGGUAUAAAUUUGUUGCAAAACUAGUACUACAACUUUAUCAUUUCUUAAUAACCGCAGAUUUCAAUAAAAAAUUAACCCUAGAUAUGCAAAAGUACAAAUUAACACCACUUUAAAUACCCUUACUGCAACAUAAACAUAACAAAAACUUUCAACCCCACACAUUAUAGCAGUCACAACACAUAAUGUAAGUAAAUAGACACAUUACAAUAGCCACAACAUAACAUAAAAAUCAAGCCCCAUACAACUUCAAGUCAUGCUAUCAUAUAAAGGACCAUAAUAUUAAAGUAAUUGCUACCGUGCAACCAUUAAUUAACUAACGAACUCAAAACUCUAAAAAUAAAGAAGUGCAAUUUAUUUACCAAAUAAAAUUAAUUCCUCUAUAGCAAAUUGUUCCAGCAAAAAAAAUGCAGCAAACUCUGCAACAAAAGAGGUGGCAGCAAGCUGCUCCAACCAAAACCACAUAAUCAACUAUUACAUAAGGAAAGAUACCCUUUUCAAUAAAUUAAAAUACAAUUUUGCAUCAUAAGCUAAAUUUGGUUCUAAUUAGGUUCUAAGUAUAAAUUUGUUGCAAAAAAAGUACUGCUACUUCACUCAUUUCCUAAUAACCCUAAACUUUAAUGAAAGAUUAACCCUAGAUAUGCAAAUUUACCACAAUAGGCAAAUUAUUUGGCUCUUGGUCUUGCUACUAGUAGUACUACUGCUGCAAAAUAAUUAUCCCUUUUUCUCUAAUCCUUCAUCUCCAAAAUCUAAUUCACUCCUGCUACUGCUGCUAUUGCUUCUGCUACUGCUAACCCUAACAACUUACAUUCUUUGCUCUCUUUCAACAAAUUAACUAAUCAAUUUUUUAAUUAGGUUUUCUCGUUAGAUUAUUUAUAGAAUUAAUUGAUUUAACUUAGAUUUGUGCAAAAUAAACAGCAUGCAAAAUGAAGACAUAAUAGAAAUCAUACCAAGGGCUUUGAAAAAAUGAAGGUAAGGAGAAUAGCAAGAUGAGGACAGAAAACGAUGGCGAGGAACACAAUAGCUAAGAAGACGAUGGCGAUACCAGGAAAUGCACCUUCACUCACUCAAUUUCACAAUGCAAUCGGUAACCAAUACGUUAGGAAGACGAUGGCAAGAUGACGACAACCGAGAUUUUGGUAAGAUGAUGGCGAAAAGGAAGAAAAUAUAAGAGAUUAAGAGAAGUUAGAAUCGAGGAUUUUAGCCUUAGCUUAUACUCUCUGUAUGUUUGUGAGUUGUAUGUGUUGAUACUUAGAAAAAAUUAGGGAUUGAAUAAGUGAAACUCAGCACCAAAACGGUGCGUUUCAAUUUUUAAAUUUUAUUUUAUAAUAAAAAAUUUUAAAAUUUUAUAUUUAUGUACAAAAUGUUGUCAUUCCAACUCCGCUAAAACAAUGACAUGUCUUCAUUCGUGUAAUAUUUUAUUUUAAAUAAUACCAAAAGUGUGGGUCAAAAACGCGCCAAAUUAAGUCAACGUGAAAAUUCUAUCAUGAAUUAUUGACGUUUAAAUUUAUAUCACAAAGACAUCAUAUAUUCUUGACAUAAUCUUUUUCUAUCACGAGUUCAUUACGAAUCAGUCAUGAAUAUAUGAUAGCCAAAAAUAUAUCACAACUAUAUCAUGCUUUUAUGACCCACUCAGAAUCCGUCAAAAAAGUGUCUGUCAUCUAUUGUCAGUUUUCUUGUAGUGAGUUUAUUGUUUUCAACAAUAUCAUAUAUGUGUCCAGUAAUAUGAGAAUACCUUUUUAUUCUAUUUUGGCUUGAUUGACAUCAAGAUAAAUAAUCUCACUUAAUUAACUUAUGUAGUAAACAAACAUUAUUAUAGACAAGGAAAAAAAAGUACAUAAAUAUCCUAAAAUGAAUAUAGAAUUUAUGGUUAAACCAAUUCAAUAAAACUUAUUUCAUUUCAUUUCAUUUCUUUUCAUUUCUUUUGUUUAUUCAAUUAAAAUAAAUGAAUAAAUUGUUUUUCACUAAAAUUUUAUAGAAAUCAUAUUAAUUUUUUUUAACAAUUAAUAGCCUUAUAUUAAUUUAUUUACUUUACCUUCCAUUUAUAAAUCUUAUAUGUGAUUUAUUAAAUUUAUAUUAAUUAUGGCAUUAAUUUCGUAAUUUUAAUGGCAUUACGAAAUGUUCCUUAUUUUAGUUAUAUAACGAAAUGUAAUUUGGACCAUUUCAUACAAGACUAUCGGAUUUAAUUUUACGCGCUUAAAUUUAGUUUGAGUAUGACCGUUGACAGGGCUUAUUAUUAUAUUAUAUUUUCCCUGACAAUUUCACUAAAAUAGUCAACUACAAAAUAGGACUGCAGUACCACGUGUUGGCUUACAUCACUUUUUGUAAUUAAUUUUGUUUAUUAGCCGGGAAAUUUCAUUGAAACUCAAUUGUUACGAAAAGAUUGACCAAGUUUUAUCGUAGGUAGCAAUUUGGUUCAGGAUUCGUUGAUUCAAUUUGAUUCGAUACAAAUAAAAUGAGUUUGGGUUUGAAAAAAUUGAUUAAUUUAAUAAAUUAGUGAAUUCAAUUUGAUUCGCUAAUUAAACGGAUCGAAUCCGAAUUUGAGACAUUGAUUCAUUUAUGAUUUGCUUAAUAAAUGAGUUAUAAACUAAUCAAAUAUAAUCUAUUUGUUCAAUUAAAUUGCUUAUUUAUCGUUAAAUAUGUAUGAAAAAAUUUUAAAGUUUGAAGGCUAAAUAGCAUCUAUAAAUGAUAAUAAAUUUUAAAUUUGUGGUCUUUUAUAAUUAUUUUGCUUAAUUUUUGUUUAUUAAUUAUAUUUUUGUAAAUGAAUUUAUAUUCAAUUUGAUUCGUUAUGGAUUCAUUAUAAGAUAAACAAAUAGUAAAUGAUUCUAGAUUUGAUUUGCUUCGUUUAUUAAUUCUACUAAAUGAAUUAAACGAAUCGAACUAAAUAUCGUUUAAUUCGAUUCAUUUAAUAAAUAAAUCAAAUCUAAAUAUUGAGAUUUUAAUUCGUUUAAUAAAUGAAUCAAUUUCAAUCAACAGAAUUUUAUUCCAAUUCAUUUAUGAUUCUAUUCGAAUUCGAUUCAUUUAUUGGUUUUGUCACCUACUUUUAAGGGAAAACUUACACAAAGAUGAUUAGGUGCACAUAAUUCAAAUAAAAAAAAUUAUAAAUUAAAAUGAACUGAUGUCAAAUAAGAGAAUAAGAAAUAAAAGAAAGUUGACCUAAGAAAAAAAAACACAUGUUUUUUAGUUUUCCAACCAGUUUUAAUUGGCCGGCUAGGGCUAGUCGAAAUUUUUAAGAAAUCAACUUAGAUUUUGUUUACUCUUUACCUAUAAAAAAAGAAAUGCAGCCAUGUCUGUUUAGUGUAUGGAGAUAGGGAUGGCAAAAAUCCCCACAGGGACGGGUACCCUCGGGGGUUUUUUCCAUUCAGGGAGGGUAUAGAGAUAAUUUCAUACCCAAUUUCUUAUUCGGGGAAGGGACGAGGAAAUUUUUUUACCUAAUUUCUUAUUCGGGGAGGGGAUGGGGAUGAGGUGGAAUCCCCAUCCCCUACCCAUUUCCCCAUUUUAAUUUUUAAUUUUAUUUUUAUUUUUAUUUUUUAAAAAUUAAUAGUAAAUAAAUAAUAAAAUUUGAAUUAUAAAAUUAUAAAUAUUGGUAAAAAUAAAAAAUAUCAAAAUAUUUAUAUUAUUAAUUUUUAGGCUUAAUUAACUAAUUAAAGUCCUAAAUUUUUAUUUAGGACAUUAAAAAGACCGGGUAGAUUUUAUUAGCCCAAAAAUUUUGUUUUAAUUUUAAUAUUCAUUAAAUAUUUUAAACUUAAAUCUAUUUUUUAUUUAUUUUUAGAUGUUAUAAUUACCCACAACGAAUCACAAUUUUAAUAUUUAAUCUAAUCUAAUAUUUGCUCUUGAUUUGCUCUGACUUAACUAUUGUGUUAUAAAGGGAAUAGUCCACAUUUAUAAAGUACCCACGCCACCAUUGAAAAAGUUAAUUUUGAAUCUAAAUUCAAUUUUAUUUGUAACAAUUUUGUAUUAGACUAUUAAUUUGUCCAUGAUAGUUUACAAAAGAAGUUUGUAUCCCUUGCAUGCUAAGUUACUUACUAAUUUAAUGCAUGUGACUUUUGUAAUGGAUAUUAAUGUAAGAUAUAUUUCUAAUUUUACUUUUAUUUGAAUAUGAUUAACUCAAAAUCAAAAACAAAAAAAUGUAUUAGUUAUUCGGGGAUCGAGGACUCUCAGAGAUCCCAUGUUAUUAUUCGGGGAGGGGAUGAAAAUUCUUUCAAGUAAUUAUGACGGGGAUGGAGAGGGGACGAGGACAUACACAAAAUAUCGAGAAUGGAUACGGAAAGAUUGGUCCCCUCCCCUCCCCACCCCAUUGCCAUCCCUACAUGGAGGUUACGAUAGCCACGUAUAGUUGGUUUUUAGUGUAGGCUCUCCUGUGAAACGUUUCCCAAGGUGGCUUCUAAUAAGCUAGAAUGAAGUUUAUAAAUAGUUGUUCUUGGUUAUUCGAUUCUAAAGAACAAUAUAUAUAAGUUUCAAUCUUUGUAUUUCUUAAUGAGUCAAAAUCCUAUUUAUACAAAAUACUCAUUAACAUAAAAGAAAAAUAAUCAACACGAAUAAAUGAGGCUCAUCUCCCCAAAUAUACAUAAUAACGUGCGAGUCAUGCACAAUAGUUUUCAUUCUUGCCCACCAUGCAUCAUAUAAUUUUCUUCUUCUCCAUGUAAUUAGCACCUUAUUAGCGUAGUUAAUUUUCCACAUUUAGUUGAUUGCCAGUUGGUGCGUCAUUUUCAUAGGCAUUACUGUUGCAGUAAUUAUUAGAAAGAAAGGAAAAGAAAACUCCUUUGACGUGACAUAUGAAGUUUCGUCUUUCAAUUUCUUGCAUAUUUAAUAAUUUAAAUGACGUGGGAUCACUUUGGUACUCUGCUGUAUAUACGACAACAUGUCCAUUAAUCAUGCAGAAGCAUAGCUGGCCUUGAUGUAAGUGUUUUUUAGUUGAGAUAAUAAAAUUUGUGUGUUAAAAACAAGAGGUUCUGGAAUCGAACUGUUGAUAUGGAUAGAGAGAAUUUAGUUACCAUUAUGUACCACGCAGGUCAAAAUCAAAUUAAGCAAAAGUAGGUGCAAUUUUAAAAUAUGAGGAAUUUACUCCUAGGAUCUCUCUGUUUGCCCUGUAUCUUUGGGCUUUGCUUUUAAUUAUACUGAUGACUUCGAAAGGUCUAUUUUAAUCAUAAAUCUAUCUUAAUUUAGAUACAAUUUCUAAAACAAGUAUUGAACACCACCUAGUUUAUAGCUAUAAGAAAACUUAACCAAAGAUUUUUUCCUUCCAAUUCAUUGGUGCAUAAUUUCUCUCAAGGUAACAACAAAGUGGUAUUGAAACUAUCUGACGAUUGUUUAUUUCAUAUGCCAAAACGUUAAGCUCAAAGCUUAACUUGGAGGAAAUCAUAGGCUUCUUCUUUAUGUGUUUUUAUCAAGUCUAUCUUCAAAGACAUUUAAAAGUUUGAAACAAGCCUCCAUUUUUUACAUAGAUAUUAGGAAAAAGGAUAGCUACAACCUGUUGGAGAAAAAUUUCACACAGCUAAUCAAGUUUUCAAUAAUAAAAAAAUUCAUACCUCCUUUAUAUCAUAAUACUUUUUGACUCUACUAAUUUAAAAAAAUUGACUUUAAUCAUUUAUAAAAAUAGAAAUAUAAUAUUAAAUUAAAUGUAAUAAUAUGUACAUUUUAAAAUAAUUUUACCCUUUAAAAAAUAUUUUAAUAUUUUACAAUCUAUUAGACAUAUUUUAUUACAUUAAAGUUAAUUUUAAAUAAAUAGAGACUUAGUAUUAAAAUAAUUAGUCAGUUUAAAUUAUUUAUAUUAUAUUAUUUGUAUUUAUUAAAAACUUUAAAGUUAUUUUUUUAUUUAUUAUAUUCUGAAAACUUUCUAAAGAAAAUAAAUCUUACUCUGAUUAAUUUAUGAGCACAAAGGCUUAAUUUAUACAAGUAUUUAAAAUAUGAAAAAUGAAAUGAUAUAAUUAACAUUAUUUGGGAAUAAUGAUUGAUUAGUAAAGAUUGAGUCAAUUAAUCUUUAUGUUAAUUUACAAACAAUCUUUCUUAAUCAAUAAAGAAGAUGGACGGUAUCAAUUAUUUGAUUGACCAUUAAUUGUUUUGUUUGCAUCAAUAUUGUUUAACUUUCCCCCUGACUUUCCACCCUUAACAACGUUGACAAUUUAGUAGUAAGAACUGAAUUGAUUGUAUAACUUCAUCUCUGGAAAGGUUAAUUUCAGAUUACUAUUCGUCGAAUGAUAAUUUUUAAAUGAUUGUAAAUCUCAAUUUAUCCCCCACUUUUUUUAAAAAGACAAAAAAAUUUCAUCAACACACCACAAUUUUUCCUUUAUCUUUUGAAUAAAAAUGAGAAUUAGUUGAAGUUUACAAUUGUUUGGAUGAUAUUAUGAAAAUUGUCAUUUUACGAAGAGGGUAACGUGAAAUUUACCCUUUCUAGAAUUAUUCUGAGUGAAAAGUUAUGUUAGUGUUUGUUCAGUUAAAUGGCGGUUGAUAAACAAAACGCUAGCUACCAGGCACCAGCAAUUUAAUAGUAUUAUAGCUGCCAUUUCAAAAUGACUAUAGUCCUAAAACCACAACACCACACAGUAUGAAACCGUGCCUUAGUAAUUAUAUGCUGAAUGUCUCAACAUUUAUGUUCAGAAAAAAGAAAGGAAAACAGAAUGAGCAGAAAAUAUACACACAACAUUCUAGCAUAAUUCUCUAAUCUGGUUAUUCCAAUAAUCGAUCAGAAUCCACACUGAAUGGAUGGAGGUCAACUCCAUCUGUAGAAGAACCUGAAGGCGGCCCAUAAAUUGACGACGUGCUUUGUGUAGUAAUUGCAGUGUUUUCUAUGCAGAAUUGGUAAUAUUUCCUCAUUGCUUCUGCCUUGGUUUCAUCGAUGUCUGAGACACUUGAAUCAGAGACUAAAUCUAGAACAUCAACACCGCAUUCGAGCAUGCGUAAAACCGAAGACAUCGAAGGCCUAAUCGUAGGAGAAGCGUUGGCACACAGCAGAGCUACAUUGAUCAUCACCAUCACUUGUUCUUUGUCAAAAUUUGAACCCAGAUUUGUAUCAACUAGCUCCAUUAAUUUUCCUUGCUCUUUUAAUACAAGCGCCUGAUUGAAAAGAAGUUGAAAAAACAUAUAUUUGUUCGGAGAUAAAUUCAAGAUAAAAAAUGCAAAUCAAUAAACUGUAGGAGCCUAAUAUUACCCAAUCUAGAAGAUAAAACAUAUCCUCUUUUGUAACGUUGCUUCUACCGCUGACAAUUUCUAAGGCAACAAUUCCGAAACUAUAGACAUCUGCUUUCUCUGUUAAAUGGCCCCG